rnacentral:lncRNA from 1 species
CUUCUAAUGCUUGGCACUUCAACAUCGUCAAGAAUGAUCAAGGCCUCUACAAUUUUCAAUGGUGUCCAAAUUGUCUCACCGGAGUUUGUCCUAAGCCUUUGUGUGGGGAUGCUGGUAUUGUGGUUGAGAAUGAAAGGAGAUUGUUGGUCUUGGAUGGUCCCGCCUUUCCUUUUAUAUUUAGAAGGGUUUGAAUAGUUUGUAAUAGCCUCCAUGUGUCAAGAAUAAUCAAUGACAUCUUGUCAAUGCAUUGCUAAUUAUAAAAAUAAAUGGAGAUAUUCAAUUCUUAUAUAUAGCUUGGCCAAAUAAAGGCUUUUAAUUUUGAUGAAUAUGAUGAUAUAUAAUCACUAAUGCUUACUAUUAUUGUUAAAUUAUGGUAAAAUUAUUCUAAGGUAUAUCCAUGUGUGUUGGAUAUACUCCUUGACAAGAUUUAUUAGUGAAUAACUAUUUUCAAAUCAUAAUAAUAAUAAAAAAAAACCUUAAUUAACUCGAGUUUCCUUAUACUUGCAUGUAAGUUGAGAAAUACAAGAUAUAGAAUUCAAAUAAAAAAUGUACUCUACCUCCUGUAUAUCUAAAUGAUUUCUUUUAAAAAAUAAUAUUUCAAUCAUUAAUUUUAUUGUCCUGUGAGGGCUGAGACUGUUGUACAUGAUUAGGAUCAAGCUCAUAUGCAAAUUGUGCUUUAUAAAUUCAUCACAAAACUUUAAUUGUUGCAUGUAUAAUUAGGACCAGAUUGCACAUGCUUGUCUUGUUUGGGGUUCGGAUUUUCCAACAGCCAUGAAAUCAUGCUAGAAGUGCAGUAUAUGCCAAACUAAUGAUUGAAUUUCUUCUCUCGCCAUGUUGACUGAGAGGAACUGCUCAAACAAACUUGGGCCCGAUGUGGAUAUGGAUCUGACCUUCAAUAACGUGCCCAAAUGAGCAACUUCUAUCAUGGGUCAAUUAUGGCGGCCCAUGUGGGAAACUUCUUUCCUGGUCAAUUAAAGUGGCCCAAGUAUAGCAAUUUGACCCAAAUACGAAAUCUGAAAUUGGUUUUGUUACAAGUUCCUGCCACCUCACUAGAAUUAGCCUCACACAAACUUGAUUAAAGUAACAGAUUUUGAAUCAUACAACAUAGGAGUAAUUCUUUCCUAUUACAUGAUUGCAGAUGAGAAAUGGAACUCAUUAAAAAGACUAUAACUUUAUAUAGCAAGCAAAUCCAUUCUAACGUGUUAAUAUGAAAUUUGAGAUUUGAUUGAUUUUUUAAUUGAACCAAUAAAAUAUUGACCUGAUAAAACUUAAUUGACCUGAUGGAAUAUUUUGUGAUCUAGUUGAUUUAGUCAAAUUUAAUCUAAAUUUAAUGAUUCAACAUAAAAAACAAUUAUUUAUAAUAAAAAUAAUUAAUUUAUAUUUAUAUGUAAUCCUUGAUUACUCAACAAUUUAAGUUUUCUCAGAAAUCUAUAUGUUUUAAUAUAAACCAGCUCAGAUUUCGCAAGUCUUAUAUAAAAGAUCGAGGACUCUACUCUCCAUUCAUAGCAAAGAUUUUUUGGAUUUCCUAAUAAUAUAAUAAGAACAUUAAUAAUAAUAAACAGAAAAUGAUUUCAAUUAGGCUGUGCUGGGAGACGCUUUCUCUCUAUCUCUUACGUUACUCCUCAUCAGAAAUUCAACUUGGAAUUCCUACUUUACUGUCAUGCAUGUACAGACAGGAUAGGGUUAUCUUGUUCGUUCAAACAACAAUAACUACGCUACGAGAAAUGGACUUUUCGUUGCCGUGCCUCCAUUGUUCAAAUCUUGUAAACUGCCGCAUACCACCGUGUGUGUACCACAUUUCCUAUAAAUAUCUAGCCCACGUAUUCUAUACCUUGAAAAGCGAUCACAUUACUCAGUUUCUUACCAAGUUUUUCAGUUUCUAAGCACAAACAGCACAGUACUGUUUUCUUGUGAUGUUGAGGUUGAUUGGAAGUUUAAGCUUCCUAUGGCUACUAAUGGCCAUAUCCACCAUGGCUCAAAGCCCUCCUGUGCUUGAUGCUGGAGGUGAACCUCUUAGAAGCGGUGUAGAAUACCUUGCAGACCCUGCUGUAGCUGAUGUUGCUGGUAGUUUAACUCUGGUGGCUCGCAAUGGAUCUUGCCCGUUUUAUGUUGGUCAAGAAUCUGCUAGAUCCGGUCGAGUAGGCAUUCCAGUCAUCUUUACACCAAGAAAUCCUCAAGAGACUAUCAUCACUGAAUCUACAGAGGUCACAGUUACAUUUUCAGGGGUUUCAACUUGUGUUCGAAACACUGCAUGGACUAUAGGUGGCGAAGAUCCACAGACGAGAAGGAGAUUUGUUGUGACUGGAGCUGAACCAUCCUACUUUCAAAUUAACAGCAGGAAUCAAUUGGGAGGUUCCUAUACUUUCCAAGGGUGCCCACAAUGUGUCGACGAACCAGAUUGUGGUAGGGCAACGUGUGGAACUGCUGGUAUUCUGAUUCAAAAUGGAACGAGAUUUUUAGUCCUAGAUGGUCCUGAGUUUACUUUUAUGUUUGUAAGGGCUAGUUAGGUUCAUUGCUCUCCAUAACAAAAAUAAAUAUAUAUAUAUAUAUAUAUAUAUGGCAUUUUGCCAUUGUAAUAGUAAAUAAAAUCAAGCCUUUCAUGUUUAGAAUUAGGGCAUAAGUUGCUGAUUAUCCUCAGCAAAUUAUACUAUCGUUGUACUACUAGUAACUAAAUGGAGAUUGAUCUUUCUUUCCCUGUGUCAUUUCGAAUUGUUUGUUUGAGCAUUGAGAAUCAAUGUGCUUAGUUGUCCGAAAUUGAAGGAUUAGUUCAAUUUGUAAUAAAUUUAUUGGUUGGAGGAAACGUAAGACACAGUAGACAUCAUCGAUCAAUUCUAAUUCCAAAUUGCAGUGAAAGAAUUUUAUAAUAUAUGAUUUGGAGGUACUAUUUUUAAAGGAUGUUGUCGUCUUUGAAUUUCUUAGGUUGUUAUUAUCACGUAAUAGAAAAUUUAUCUAGAAGUUCAUGAAUUUGAGGGAGCAUCGUCCUGGACAGCGUGUUGGUGUGUAGUAUAAUUUUGAGAAGGAAUGCUGAGUCAAAUAUGAAGAUAAGCCUCUCCCUCCACAAUUUGCCCAAAAGUAUUAAAUUUAUUUCUCAAUUGAAAUUCGUUCCCAAGUACAAAACCCCUAUCGACUUUGUGAUGGAUUUCUUGUAAGACUUCAUUGCCUAAUUGGCUACUAUUUGGUAGGCUAACACAUUUAGCCGGUACCUAGCAAAUUAUACAUCAUCAAUGGCGGUAGAGGGUUGGGAUAAGAGCUAGCAAUGGACUAAUUUGAGCCUUUUUUAAAGCCUUUUUUCACGUAUAGACAGAUGGACUUUUCGUUGCCGUGCUUAUUAUGUGAUAUCUUGUAGAAAAGUCGCAUGCCUGCCAGCGCCAGAUUUCCUAUAAAAAUCUAGUUACCAUGCAUAAACCACAAAGUGCAAAGACAUUACAAAUACACCAUUUCUCAUCAAGUUCAAGGUUGAUAACUAAGCUCGUACAAUUUAAUUUUGUUGUUUGACACAGGCAGCCAUGUUGAGGUUGAUUAGAGGUUUGAGCUUCAUUUGUCUACUGAUGGCUAUAUCAUGCUUGGCUCAGGGCCCUCCUGUGCUUGAUACUGAUGGAAUUCCUGUUACGAGAGGGGUAGAAUACUAUGUAGAUCCUGCUGCAACUGAUGUUGCUGGUGGCUUAACUCUAGUGACUCGCAAUGGAUCUUGUCCAUCUUAUGUUGGUCAGGUUCCUAUUGGACCUGGUAAUGUUCAAGGCCUUCCAGUCGUCUUCUCCCCAAGAAAUUCUAGCGAGACUGUCAUCACUGAAAAUACUCAAUUCACUGUUGCAUUUUCAGCUGCUACGAUUUGUGUUACAGAUACCACAUGGGGUAUAGGCGAGGAAGACCCGGAGACGACAAGGAGACUUAUUGUGAUUGGUGAUGAACCAGCCAUCUUUAGUAUUAGCCGUAAUCAAGCACCAGGUCCCUAUACUUUUGGCUAUUGCCCAGAAUGCAACACUCCUCCGCCGUGUGGGAGGCCAAGAUGUGGGAUUGCAGGUAUUCUGGAACAGAAUGGGACGAGGUUCUUAACCAUAGAUGGCCCUGCAUUUCCUUUCAGCUUUAGAAGGGCUUGAGUCCUUCUCCUUUGCAAAAAUACAAGUAGAUGACGUUCUGGCAUUGUAAUAGUACAAAUAAAUCAUUUUAUAUUUAGAAUCGCUUAUGUUAUUCUCCAUAGAAGAAUAAGUGCCUUGGUGUCAUUGUAAUAUCAGGAAAUAAAUGGAGAUCUUUCUUGAUGCUUAGAAUUCAAGUUCGUUAUCUUUUAUAUAUAUAAAAAAGAAUAACCAUAACAACACCUGUGAUGAAAUAAAAAAAAUAAAAUUGCAAACACCAUGACCGAUAUAAAAAUAUCUCUGGAGCUGUGAUACUAUAAACCAACAAAGACAUUCAAAACUGUGAAUCAAAACUGAAGCAUAGAAUGGAGGCAUGUAGUAUAUUAAAAAGACCUAAAAAUAAAAUAGCCGAAAUAAGAUACUCUAAAAUAGCAGAUAUAAGUUAAAAUCUUACUAAUGUUUCAAGACUUCGAAACAUUGCCAAACAAUGCACAAAGAUUUAAACAGAGUUAUUGCGAAAUUCCUUGCAAAUCAAAUAAUUUCUAGCUGUGAGAUCACUAGAGGAGGCUUUAAGAAACUGCUCAAAGUGCAAAAUCUUAGAGCGUUGCGAGAAACUUCAAGACAUUAGUAUAGUUAUCUUGGGUUGGACUAGUAAUGUGAAUAGGAUUGGUUAACUGUAGCAAGACAAGAGCAUAAAGAGUUGAGUAUUCCUCAUUGUCUGAUCAUUUCUAGCAGUAAAACUAGGAAUUGUUCAAAAUGAAUAGUAUGCUCCAACCAACCCUUGUUUUAUUGUCUUUAAUUAAUUAAUUGGAUAAUAAAGACAACACAGACUUUUCUCUAAGCAUAUCCACUGUCACGACCCGAAUCCCGGAUCCAUGACCGGCACAUAGGCAAGGUUCCCCUCCAAGGUUCCAAACCUAUGCGAACCCAAACUUACAUACAAUCCUUUAAACAACUCAAUCAGAGUUUAACGCAGAAUUAACAACAAACAACUUUAUAAUAUAAUGUAAUUGUCUUAAUACAAGAGUUAAUAUAAUUUCAUAGUUUUGGAGCACUAACUCGACACAAAAGGAAGAUACAAAUUACAACUAAAAGGCAGGUUCGGAAGGUUCAACAAAAGUAACCUGCUAUCAAGCUAUAAGCCUGAAAAGGAUAAAUAAUGAGAGGGUGAGUUCAACAACUCAGUGAGUAGAUAACGUUCAAUACACACACACGAGGUAAUAUAACAAUGAGAAAUAUAUAUACAAGUAUGGCUUUAGUUCUUAUACGAAGGUUUAUCAAAUAGGCCAUAACAAGAAUAUCAUAUGGUAAAACUCGUCAGAAAAUCAAAAUGCAAUGAGCAUGAGGCUCCGUACUGUGGGAUGAUCAGUCCACACAGGUUGGUGACUCCCCCGACCAACUAGGGUUCAGAUACGAUGUGCACAAAGACUAACACUACCCUGUUAGCAUGGGUAUUCUGACUGACAUACCAUAGGUUCAUAAUCAUAAUCAAACAAACAUAUUCAUAUCUCAAAGCUCAACUCAUGACAUCCAUCAAAUGAGGAGCUAUCAAUUCAGAAGUCAAAUCAUAUUGGUUCAUAUCAAGAAAUCAGAUUCAAUAAUUGAUCAUGCUUUAUCAUAUCAAGGAUAAUAAUCAGCAUAUAUAUUAUCAAGAAGCAUGAUCCAAUUCAUAUUAACAAAUCAAAUAUUUAUAAUAUUUCUCAUGCAUAUGGAAAAUUAUCCACUCACCUGACUCAAAAGCAAACUGCACACACAAGCUGAAACCGAAGGAAAUUCUACUGACGUCCUGCCGGUAGAAUAUCAGGAUUAUCUGAAUACAAAGGAGACAUAUUCAAAAACGACUCGAAAGAACAUUUAACCUAUUUAAUACACUUAACUAAGGGUGUAUUCCGUAACCCUAUAUAUUUUUGAACUAACUAGUCAAUUUUCUUAAAAACCCAAAAUCUAACGGUUUUCCCGAAAUCUAAUCCAUAAUAAAAACAACUAAUAAAAUUGGUAAUAAUUCACUAAAUAACCCUUAAUUAUUCAUCAAACUAAUCUGCAAAAGCUAAUAUUACAGCUAGGGACUAAUCUGGAAUUUUUCCAUAUUUUUAGGGCCAAAUUGUAACUUUUGUCAAAUGGAGGACCAAACUGAAAUUUGUCAUAAAUCCAUGAAUAUACUGAAAUUCUGACCUUAAUUAAUCCUCAAUUCUGUCCAGGAUGUAUCAUUAUGCUUCAGGGAUCAUUCUGGAAUUUUACUAAAUUUUUAGGGUCAAAUCGUACUUUUUGUCAAAUUGGAGGACUAAAUUGAAAGUGUUAAAUUCUCUUAUCUAUACAGUAAUUAUGUCCAUAAUUCAUAUGUUAUUCUGUUCAGAAUCUCGGAAUAUGCUCCAGGGACCAAUUUGUAAUUUUCCAAAGUUCGGGGACUAAACUGUAAUUUUCGGAAAUUGAGGGACCAAAUUGAAUUUUCGUCAUCUUCAACCUCCAGUCCAGAUUUUAACAGAAACCCCACUGUUCUCCCCUGAUUUCUAACUCAAUUUUCACCAUUUACACAAUUCUAUAACUCAAAAUCAUCAUAAUCUUCCAUAAUCAACUAAAUCAUCAAUUAAACACAACAAUCAACCCCUAACCUUCAAUUUAAUUCAUCAAUUUAAAUCAAACACAAAUUCUCAAAACCCUAACAUUCAUAAAAACUGAAAUUAAAGCUUAAUUAACAUAUUAUACACAUUAAACAACCUAAAUCUUACCUUUUUCACUUAUUUCCUCCAAAACUCUUCCUUUUUCCCUUAUUUUCCCUUCUUUUCUCUUCUUCUUCUUUCUCCUUCUCUCUCACGGUUCUCUCUCUAAUAUUCAGAUCACAUUUUUUUUUUUUUUACUUCCUAUUUAUAUUUAUCAACUAUUUAUCCAAUUACUACUAUACCCUUAUUUAAUUUAUUCAUACAUCUAAGCCUUCAAGGGCUUUAUUGUAAAAUCCUAUCUUAUUAAUUUCAAAACAUUACAAUCUCCCCACCUUAUAAAAGUUUCGUCCUCGAAACUUAAUAGAAAAGAUUGAAUACUUACCGAGAUUAUCGAAAAGAUGAGGAUACUCCUCACGCAUCUUAUCCUCGAGCUCCCAUGUCGCUUCCUCACGUGAAUGACCUUUCCAUUGCACUUUCACUGAAGCUAUGUCCUUCGACCUAAGCUUCCUCACUUGUCGGUCGACUAUAGCUUCCGGUUGCACCUCAUAAACCAUAUCAUCCCUCAAGUCAAUAGGAUGAACCUCUAACACAUGCGAUGGAUCUGACAUAUAUUUCCUUAACAUGGAAACAUGAAAUACCGGAUGAAUAGCAGACAAGUUUGGUGGUAAUGCUAACCGAUAAGCAACUGCCCCAACUCUCUCCAGAAUCUCAUACGGUCCAAUGAAUCGAGGACUCAACUUGCCUUUCUUCCCAAACCUGAAUACUCCUUUUGUAGGUGAUACUUUUAAGAACACACAAUCACCCACUGAAAACUCUAAGUCACGCCUUCUUCUAUCUGCGUAACUUUUAUGUCUACUCUGAGCUGUUUGAAGCUUCUUUCUAAUUACCUCAAUCUUCUCUGAGGUAAUCUGAAUCAACUCCGGUCCCAUUAGCCUCUUCUCACCAACCUCAAACCAACAAACUGGUGAUCUACACUUCCGACCAUACAAAGCCUCAUAAGGUGCCAUCUCUAUGCUAGCCUGAUAACUGUUGUUGUAAGCAAAUUCCACUAAUGGUAGGAACUUACUCCAACCAACUCCAAAAUCCAUAACACAAGCCCUUAACAUAUCCUCCAAGGUCUGAAUAGUCCUCUCAGACUGACCAUCUGUCUGAGGGUGAAAAGCUGUACUCAACUGCACCUUAGUACCCAUAGCUUCUUGAAAUUUCACCCAAAACCGCGAUGUAAACUGUGGACCUCUAUCAGACACUAUCGAGAUUGGCACUCCAUGCAACCGUACAAUCUCACUAAUAAACAAUUCCGCCAACUUUGCAUAUCCAUAAGUAAUCUUAACUGGCAGAAAAUGGGCUGAUUUUCAACCUGUCAACAAUCACCCAUAUCGAAUCAUAACCCUCCUGACUCCUAGGCAAUCCUGUCACAAAGUCCAUUGUGAUCCUUUCCCACUUCCAUUCUGGAAUCAACAAUGGUUGUAACAAUCCAGGAGGUUUCUGGUGUUCACCCUUUACCCUCUGACAGGUCAAACACCUAGAAACAAAAUCUGCUACAUCAGCCUUCAUCCUAUUCCACCAAUAACACACCUUAAGGUCUUUAUACAUCUUGGUGGAACCUGGAUGCAUUGUGUAAACUGUCUGAUGUGCCUCUAUCAUCAAUUCUCUCCUCAGAUCAUCAACAUCAGGUACACAAAGCCUAUCCCUAUAUCUCAGCACAUCAUCAUCACCAAUCACAAAACUUGCAGCCUUACCCUGCUCAACCUCAUUUCUAAUCCUGAGUAGUGAAUCAUCUUUCUUCUGAGCUGCUUUUAUCUUAUCAAACAAAUCUGACUUAACCUGAAAAUGAGCAAUCAUUGCUCCAGCUUCACUAAGAUCAAAUCUGACUCCUUCAUCCACUAACUCAUGCAGCUCCCUAAUCAGAGGUCUUCGUACCUCCUGAAUAUGAGCUAAGCUCCCUGAUGAUUUUCUACUCAAAGCAUCGGCAACUACAUUUGCCCUACCCGGGUGGUACUGUAUGGUACAAUCAUAAUCCUUCAGUAGUUCCAUCCAUCUCUCUGCCUCAGGUUUAGAUCCUUUGCUGAAAGAUGUAUUUCAAACUCUUGUGAUCUGUAAAGAUCUCACAAGUUUCACCAUACAAGUAGUGCCUCCAAAUCUUCAAAGCAAAAAUUACAGCCGCCAUCUCUAAAUCAUGUGUAGGAUAGUUCUGUUCAUGCUUCUUCAGCUGUCGUGAAGCAUAGGCAAUAACCUUGCCAUGCUGCAUUAGAACACAUCCUAACCCCACUCUCGAAGCAUCACAAUACACUGUGUAACCACCAGAACCUGAUGGUACUGCUAGAAUAGGCGCUGUAGUCAAUCUCUCCUUCAACUCUAAGAAACUUUUCUCACAAGCUUCAGACCACUGAAACUUAACAUUUUUCUGCGUUAACUUAGUCAAUGGUGCAGAAAUUCGAGAAAAGUUCUCCACAAACCUCCGAUAGUAGCCGGCCAAACCUAAGAAACUUCUAAUCUCUGUCGCCGAAGUAGGCCUAAGCCACUGCUUAACUGCUUCAAUCUUUUGAGGAUCAACCUCAAUCCCAUUCCUUGACACUACAUGCCCAAGAAAUGCUACACUCUCCAACCAAAACUCACUCUUUGAGAACUUGCCAUACAACUGAUGAUCUCGCAGAGUUUGAAGCACCAUUCUCAAAUGCUGCUCAUGCUCCUCUCUAGACCUCGAAUACACCAAAAUAUCAUCAAUAAAAACUAUCACAAAUCGAUCAAUAAAUUGGCCAAACACUCUAUUCAUCAAGUCCAUAAAAGCUGCUGGUGCAUUCGUCAACCCAAAAGACAUCACUAAAACUCAUAAUGACCAUACCGAGUUCUAAAAGCUGUCUUUGAAAUGUCUGCCUCCCUAAUCCUCAACUGAUGAUACCCAGAUCGAAGAUCGAUCUUAGAAAAGAAUUGAGCUCCCUGUAACUGAUCAAACAAAUCAUCUAUACGAGGGAGUGGGUAUCUAUUUCGAACUGUCACCCGAUUCAAUUGCCUAUAAUCUAUACACAACCUCAAUGACCCAUCUUUCUUCUUCACAAACAACACCGGAGCUCCCCAAGGGGACACACUUGGUCGGAUAACUUUUUAUCCAAUAAAUCCUGCAGCUGCUCCUUUAACUCCUCAAUUCUGCUGGCGCCAUUCUAUAUGGUGCCAUUGAUAUUGGUUCAGUGCCCGGAACCAAAUCAAUACAAAACUCAAUCUCCCUAUACGGAGGCAAUCCAGGUAAGUCAUCGGAAAGACAUCGAUAAACUCUCUUACUAUAGGGACUUCCUCUAACUGGGAACUUCUUUCUCUACAUCCACUAUAUAUGCUAGGUAGCACUGUACCCCUUUUCGGGCCAUUUUCCUCGAGAUAGCCGACAACAUAAUUGAUGGAGACCCAAUCUUAUCUCCUUGAAAUACCAACCCAACUUCUUGAUCUAGAUCAAACAUUAUUUUCUUACCCCAACAAUUUACCGAAGCCCUAUGCUUAGCCAACCAAUCCAUUCCCAAAAUCACAUCAAAAUCAACCAUAUCUAAGACAUUUAAGUCUCCCAUAAAGAUCUUAUCUCCAAUCUCUAUUUCACAAUCCAGAUACACAUACUUUACUAAUAUUAACUCAUCUAAGGGAGUGGAGACUGAAAUGGGGAUUUUAACAAGGUUGGUUGUUUAUCUAACCUCAUGGCAAAAUAUGGGGACACAAACGAAUGAGUUGCACCCGUAUCAAACAAAACUUUUGCUUCAAAAGAGCAAACAGGAAGAAUACCUGAAACAACUGUGUUGGAUGCCUGAGCAUCCUGCUGAGUCAAGGCAAAAACUCUGGCAUGCCCCUGACCCUGCUGUAUCUGACCUCUAUCACCUGCACCCCGACCUCUUUGACCACGGCCACCAAAACCUCUACCCCCAUGAGCCACAGACUGGCUCGUCGAUGGUGCCUGAAUAGGCUGCUGGACUGAAGCAGAUAACCCCGAAGUGGACAACUGUCUCCUCGGGCACUCUCUAAUCUUAUGACCUAUCUGGCCACAACUAAAACAAGCCCCGUCCUUCUGUAGCACUCUGCACUGUUAUGACCUCCUCCACAGUGCUGACACAAAGAACUAUCCCCAGAUGAAACAAAUGAACUACGAGGUGCAGUCUGAACUAAACUCUGGGCACCACUACUGCCACUCUGACUGCCUGAGCCACUAACUGAUGGUCUCUGUCUAAACCUCCUCUGAACCCAUGAGCCCUGACGGCCACUUCGUCCCCUAAACGGACCUGCACUUAAUCCCUGUUGCUAAAAGACUGACCCUCUUCUCUAGGCCUCUUAGACUGGCCAACAGUCAUGUCCUCUAUUUCACGCGCCUCUAGCAAUCUGGCGCUAUCAACAGCUGAGGAGUAGGAUGGAAACACUUGUGGCGCCAAUACCAUAUACAGAGAGGAUUUGAGUCCUCUAAUGAAUCUCUUCACCCUCCAUUCCUCAGUGGGUAGAAGAUAUUCUGCAUACCUAGACAGUUGAGUGAACUUCAGAUCAUACUCCUCCACUGUCAUGCUCCCUUGAGAUAGCCUCUCAAACUCAUAAAGUCGAGCAUCCCUGAUGCUCUGAGGGAGAAACCUGUCUAAAAACAUGGAGCUAAACUCCUUCCAUGUCCACUGAGCCUCUACUGGUCUUGCUCUUUCCCUAGACUCAAACCAAGAGAUUGCCACAUCUCCUUCCAACCUGAACGAUGCCAAACUCACAGCUCGGUGGUCUGUACAUCCCAAAGCUUUACAUCGUCGCCAAAUGUCAUCUAGGAACUUUGAGGAUCCUCUGAACUGUCUAUCCCAGUAAAAAUAGGAGGUGCCAACUUCAUAAAGUCAUCCAAUGGCACAUUAACUCCCUGAACAGUGUGGGAUGUCGAGGGUACAUCUCUAUCCCUCAUUCUGUCUCUCUCCAUAGUAAACUCUAUCCAAGUCUGCACAACCUGGCUAAGUCGCUGAACCUCUGUAACAGGCUCAGGGUCAGCUACCCCCACACCUGUUUCAUCAACCAUAUCUUCCUCUUCUAUCUCCUGAGGCUCUUCCUCCACUGGUGGAGGUACCUCAUCAACAUGUUGAGGCACGGGUGCACCACGCCUCCUUCUCUGCCUUGCAGUUAUCAACUGCAUAAUAGGGACAUCAUCCUGAUCAUCAUCUACCCUAAGAGUAUCAGUUCUUCGUCUAUUCCUCGGCAUUUCCUAAAAUAAAAGAGAGAUCACUUAAGUCAUGCUAGAACAAUAGCAUGAUAAUUAUCUCAGAAUUAUAGGAAAGCAUAUCUAUCACAAGGAAGAAGACAUACUUGAUGAGAAUUUAAAAUUUCAAAAACAACAAACAAGACGAUACGGAUCCUAAUGCUCCACUUAUUAUGAAAUUAAUUAUAUUAUUGUUUCUUUAACCUAAAGCUCUGAUACCAAGUUUGUCACGACCCGAAUCCCGGAUCCAUGACCGGCACAUAGGCAAGGUUCCCCUCCAAGGUUCCAAACCUAUGCGAACCCAAACUUACAUACAAUCCUUUAAACAACUCAAUCAGAGUUUAACGCAGAAUUAACAACAAACAACUUCAUAAUAUAAUGUAAUUGUCUUAAUACAAGAGUUAAUAAUUUCAUAGUUUUGGAGCACUAACUUGACACAAAAGGAAGGUACAAAUUACAACCAAAAGGCAGGUUCGGAAGGUUCAACAAAAGUAACCUGCUAUCAAGCUAUAAGCCUGAAAAGGAUAAAUAAUGAGAGGGUGAGUUCAACAACUCAGUGAGUAGAUAACGUUCAAUAUACACACACGAGGUAAUAUAACAAUGAGAAAUAUAUAUACAAGUAUGGCUUUAGUUCUUAUACGAAGGUUUAUCAAAUAGGCCAUAACAAGAAUAUCAUAUGGUAAAACUCGUCAGAAAAUCAAAAUGCAAUGAGCAUGAGGCUCCGUACUGUGGGAUGAUCAGUCCACACAGGUUGGUGACUCCCCCGACCAACUAGGGUUCAGAUACGAUGUGCACAAAGACUAACACUACCCUGUUAGCAUGGGUAUUCUGACUGACAUACCAUAGGUUCAUAAUCAUAAUCAAACAAACAUAUUCAUAUCUCAAAGCUCAACUCAUGACAUCCAUCAAAUGAGGAGCUAUCAAUUCAGAAGUCAAAUCAUAUUGGUUCAUAUCAAGAAAUCAGAUUCAAUAAUUGAUCAUGCUUUAUCAUAUCAAGGAUAAUAAUCAGCAUAUAUAUUAUCAAGAAGCAUGAUCCAAUUCAUAUUAACAAAUCAAAUAUUUAUAAUAUUUCUCAUGCAUAUGGAAAAUUAUCCACUCACCUGACUCAAAAGCAAACUGCACACAAAGCUGAAACCGAAGGAAAUUCUACUGACGUCCUGCCGGUAGAAUAUCAGGAUUAUCUGAAUACAAAGGAGACAUAUUCAAAAACGACUCGAAAGAACAUUUAACCUAUUUAAUACACUUAACUAAGGGUGUAUUCCGUAACCCUAUAUAUUUUUGAACUAACUAGCAAUUUUCUUAAAAACCCAAAAUCUAACGGUUUUCCCGAAAUCUAAUCCAUAAUAAAAACAACUAAUAAAAUUGGUAAUAAUUCACUAAAUAACCCUUAAUUAUUCAUCAAACUAAUCUGCAAAAGCUAAUAUUACAGCUAGGGACUAAUCUGGAAUUUUUCUUAUAUUUUUAGGGCCAAAUUGUAACUUUUGUCAAAUGGAGGACCAAACUGAAAUUUGUCAUAAAUCCAUGAAUAUACUGAAAUUCUGACCUUAAUUAAUCCUCAAUUCUGUCCAGGAUGUAUCAUUAUGCUUCAGGGAUCAUUCUGGAAUUUUACUAAAUUUUUAGGGUCAAAUCGUACUUUUUGUCAAAUUGGAGGACUAAAUUGAAAGUGUUAAAUUAUCUUAUCUAUACAGUAAUUAUGUCCAUAAUUCAUAUGUUAUUCUGUUCAGAAUCUCGGAAUAUGCUCCAGGGACCAAUUUGUAAUUUUCCAAAGUUCGGGGACUAAACUGUAAUUUUCGGAAAUUGAGGGACCAAAUUGAAUUUUCGUCAUCUUCAACCUCCAGUCCAGAUUUUAACAGAAACCCCACUGUUCUCCCCUGAUUUCUAACUCAAUUUCACCAUUUACACAAUUCUAUAACUCAAAAUCAUCAUAAUCUUCCAUAAUCAACUAAAUCAUCAAUUAAACACAACAAUCAACCCCUAACCUUCAAUUUAAUUCAUCAAUUUAAAUCAAACACAAAUUCUCAAAACCCUAACAUUCAUAAAAACUGAAAUUAAAGCUUAAUUAACAUAUUAUACACAUUAAACAACCUAAAUCUUACCUUUUUCACUUAUUUCCUCCAAAUCUCUUCCUUUUCCCUUAUUUUCCCUUCUUUUCUCUUCUUCUUCUUCUCCUUCUCUCUCACGGUUUCUCUCUCAAUAAUUCAGAUCACUUUUUUUUUUUUUUACUUCCUAUUUAUAUUUAUCAACUAUUUAUCCAAUUACUACUAUACCCUUAUUUAAUUUAUUCAUACAUCUAAGCCUCAAGGGCUUUAUUGUAAAAUCCUAUCUUAUUAAUUUCAAAACAUUACAUCCACACACAUGAUAUUGAAAGUAGAUGAUUUUUUGGGAAAUUCAUUUGCUUUAAUUGUGGGUAUAGACUAGAAAUUUGGUCAAACUAAAUAUUCCUGCUACCUAGUUCCUGAUAAGUAACCAGCUCAAAGAAUUUGGAAGCGAUCAUUAAUUUUGUUCCGGUUGUGAAUAGUUCUCCUCCUCCUUCGAUUACUUGCCCCAACAGAUCUCUUCAUAAUUAGUCCAUCCAUGAGACAGUAUUUCAAAGCUUACAAUCUAAGUAUUUCAGCUGCCAUUUUUUUGGUUUUACACUGUUCCUCGAGUUAAUUUUGUACAACGUUUGAUUAGUAUCGCCGAACAAAUAAAAAUAAAAACAGAUACAAAAAAAAAAAUUGUUUGGUUAAAAGGAUAAGAACAAAAACAUAAAAUAAAUAUAUAUCUAUGGGAUAAAUAUAUAAUGAAUUUAUAUUUUUUAAAAAUUAAAUGGCACAUGGGAGCAUAUUUCCUCUGUUUUCAUCCUUCGAUUACUUGCUCCAAGAGAUCUCUUCAUAAUUUAGUCCACCCAUGAGACAAUAUCCCUAAGUCUAUUAAGGACACCGUUAACUGGAUUCAUUAGAUAACAAUGCAACAGAUGAAAAUGGAUAAUUACCCAAGGACUUUUUUGUUGCCGUGCCGUAAUAGAGAAAUGUGGUAUGUCGACUCCUUCCACUAUAAAAAGAUGGCAAAUCUCAAGCAAAGGAUUACAAAUUGCUCAUAGCAUCUUAAUUUUAAGAACCAGCACAUAUAAUAUUUACUUCUUUUUUGUUGUGCGAGAUAGCUAGCUCUAGGCAGCCAUGUUGAGAUUGAUUGGAAGCUUGAGCUUUAUAUGGCUACUCAUGGCCACAUCCACAGUGGCUCAAACCUGGCCUGCUGUGCUUGAUGCAGAUGGCCAACCUCUUAGAAGUGGUGUAGAAUACUACGUACUUCCAGCUGCAACUGAUGUUGCCGGUGGCUUAACCCUUGUUAAUCUUAACAACGGUUCAAUAUGUCCACUCUUUGUUGGUCAAGAGCCUCUUGCACCUGUUGUGUCCCGAGGCACUUCAGUCAUAUUCACACCACGGGUUGCGGAUACUGUUGUAAGGGAGACAAGGGACUUCACUGUUGCAUUCACUGGUGUAACAAUUUGUGCUCAGUCUACUACAUGGAUGGUCGGUGAGCAGAAUCCAGAGACAAGGAGGAGGUAUAUCUUGGCUGAAACGGAUCCUGAUCCUUCUUCUGAUGCUUGGCACUUCAACAUCGUCAAGAAUGAUCAAGGCCUCUACAAUUUUCAAUGGUGUCCAAAUUGUCUCACCGGAGUUUGUCAUACGCCUUUGUGUGGGGAUGCUGGUAUUGUGGUUGAGAAUGAAAGGAGAUUGCUGGUCUUGGAUGGUCCCGCCUUUCCUUUUAUAUUUAGAAGGGUUUGAAUAGUUUGUAAUAGCCUCCAUGUGUCAAGAAUAAUCAAUGACAUCUUGUCAAUGCAUUGCUAAUUAUACAAAUAAAUGGAGAUCUUUAAUCCUUGACUAAUUAAAUAUAUAGUCUGGGUAAUAAAUAAAGGCUUUCGAGUUUUGAUGUAUAUAAUAAUUGCCGCGGGUGCACCGUGGCAUCGUCGUGCUGUGGCAAAGCUUUUAUUGUGCCCGAGGAGGUAAUUAUAAAAACUCAUGAUUAAAAUUUAAGAGUGCCUAUUUAGUAUUAUGGUUGUUAGAAAUCUAUGAUCUAUAAGAAUCUAGAUAAAAAAUUAGUUAUGUAAGGAGAAGAUAUAUUACCCUCAGUAUAUCUUACAUAAGGUAAAUUGUAUUGUUAUUUCAUUGUUUUUCUAGGUCGGGUUUCUAUUCGUUAGUAUUUUCUAAGGUUUAAGGCAGAUCUUUCUUGGCAAGAAAGUCUAUAUUUCAUCGGGUUAAACCUAACCAUUCUAAAAUCCAAACUUUAAUAUCGCAUUUAUUUUACAUCUUGUAUCUUUAAUAUAUUUGAGGGUGUAUACUAUUGUGCAGUUUUACACCUUACAAAUUAUUAAAGUUUAUAUCUAAACCCUAAAAAGAUUUUAAAAAAAAUGUUUUUGAUAUUUUAAUCAAACCCUAAUAAAUAAUUAUAAACUAGUUAUGAUAUUCAUUUUGCAUUUUAAAACAUAAGAAAGAUACAAUUUUUAUUUUUAUGAAAAUAUGCUUGGAAACAUUUUAGGAUUUGGUUGUAUGUAUGAAAACAAAAUAUUUUUUUGUUUUUUUUUCUUUUAAAAAAUAAAAUUAAUUUUAAAAAAUUGAGAUUUUUUUUAGUAAUAUUUCAGAGAAAGCCAGACAUUUUAAUACAAAUUUGAAUCUUAUAGUGUAAAAAUAAAACUCAAUGUUACACAAAAUUGAUAGAAAACACCCAAGAAAAUCACAAAUUUUUUAAAGAAGUUUUUUGGAAUUUUUUGUUUUUUUUAAUAUAUAAUAUUAAAUAUUACAAUAUAUAUUAUAUUGUUCUAAAAUAUAGGCUGGGCCAACCCAGCUAACUACGCUGAUCUUAAACCAAAAGGGUUAGGCUGACCUUGGCCCAAUAAGUAAUUGGCCUAUAUCAACUCAAAAAGAUUGGGGAUGAAAAUUAAAAUUUUAAUUAAAUUAAAGGGCAACCAUAAUUUUUUUAUUGGAGAUUUAAAUUGAAAAUAAAAAUAACUUUAACAAAAUGAUAAAAAAAAAAAUCAAAAGAAUAAUGAUCAAAUUGAAAAAAAAUAUAUAUAUAUAUGAUAUAAAUUUGGAUUGAAUGAUGAAAUUGAAAGCUAUUAAAACUCUUACAAAAAGGUCAGGAAAAAAAAUAAAAAUAAGUACCAAGUCGAAAAAAAAUAAUAUAUAACAAAUUAGGGUUGAAUGUUGAAAUUAAAAAUAAAUAAAAGUUUUAUAAAAAGAAUUAUGUGUUUUAAAAUAUAAUUUCAUAAUUCACCAAUCUCAUCUUCUUUUUUAUUUAUUUAUUUUUAAUUUUAUCUUUCAAUAUUAGAUUAUUUUGAUAACUGUGCUUCUUAUUUUUUUUCUUAUUUUCUUUAUAUUAAAUUAUAUAUUGGUCUCGUUGAUUUAGCUUUUUUUCCUUGAUUUCAACCUUUAAAAUUAGAUAUAUUGAAAGUAGAGCUUCAUAAAUUUUCUCAAAUUACUUUAUAUAAUGUGCUUUAUAUAUUUUUUUAUGUUAUUUUCUAAUUGAUUUUAUUUAUUUAUUUUAUAUGAGGUUAUCUCAAUAUGUUGAUCUGACUCACGAGUUUAACAGAUUGACUAAUGUAGAUUUUUUUUCAUUUUUUUUUAUGUUUAAUUUUUUCAAAUUCUUCCCUUAAUAUUAAGUUAAUUAGGAAUUUGCAUUCAUAAUUUAUAUUUAUUUGCUUUAUAUAAACUUAUUAUAAUCUUAUAAUCCGAGUUAUAAAUUUGAUAAGUUAACUCAGAUCAAUUCGAUAUGUUAUUAUUCUAAUAGUUAAAAAAAUAUCAUAUAAUAUAUCAUUGUUCAAAUAUUUUAAAAAAUGUAUUUUUCAAUAUAUAUCAUAUUUUAUAAAUCACAUCAACAACACUUAGGUAAUUUAUUUAUAUUAAAAAACUGAUCUGAAUUACGGUGUAUCACCGGUCAUUUUGUUAGAAGGCUAACAAUCGUAGUCUUGGUACUAAAACAAGAUAUUGGAAAUAGAAGAAAACGUGCCUCAACUCUCUUGCAUUACACACACACACACACACACACAUAUAUAUAUAUAUGAAGCUGUAAAAACAGAGAAAUACUUCGGGGCUAAGAAUUGGGAUAGUCCUCAUUAAUCGCCUAUUUUCCAUGCUGUAUCUGCCUAAUUUUGGAAAACAUGAUGAUGCAAUCUUUUCUAUUUUGGUUAUGUGAUUCUUCAAUGACCAACUCUGACUAGAAAACUAAUUAACAGGUGAGGACAGCUAAGGCAAUAACCUGCUGGUAGUUCAAUAUAGGCAUGCAUGUUCUUCUCUUCCCCGCGAGAAAUCUUAGUUUCACCCUCUCCUUUGUAACAAAAAAGAAAACAUCUAUGAUAUUGUAACAAAGAAAAUGUUGCAGCCAACAAAUUAGAUAAUAUCUCACUUUCUAGCUUGGUUAUAAUGCCUGCCUUCUCAAAAUUUCCUUUUCAUCAAUCUCCCUAAUUUGUUUUGGUUCUGAAUUACAAGUUUUGAAAUACUUCCAAUCGCCAUGGCUGAAUCUGGAUAUUUAGUAAAUCGUACCGAGGAUGGUUCGGAAGCAUGUUACUACGUAAAUCAAACUGGUGGCAAUUAUUUCCAAAGUACAAGUGCUUUGACGACAUCCCUCCCUCUCUUUGUCCUCCAACUAUCGGUUGUCCUGUUCACCACUCGCCUUCUCCUCUUGAUCCUCAGGCCUCUGCGACAACCCAGCAUAGUUGCUCUUAUAAUUGUAAGGUCGAACUUGUUAUAUAAUUGCUGUUUCAUGGUUCAUUUUGUAGGCAAAUUAUUAAUGGUGAUUGCUCUUUUAUCCUUCUUCAUGCUAAUACAAUAUGAUUCGUAAAUAUAUAGAUCAAAACUUGUGGAAAAACAAUGUUUUAAUUUUAACUAAAAGGACUUGCACUACAUUUACCAAAAGUUAUUUUUUUCUUGUGCAUUUUAUCGAAUUUGAGUCAUGAUACCUUGUAAGCAACUAGGCUAAACCUCCAAGUAUGUGGGAAGAACGAUGAUGUGUGUAGCCAAGCAACGGAAAUAACUUUCAUCUAAUUAUUGCAUGCAUUUGUAGUAUAGUGUUCUUUUCCAUCUCAAAAGUCUUGAGUUUAAAUCUCUCUUUUGUAACAAGAAAAAAAAAACAUAUGCAUGCACAUUGGAUAAUUGAUGGUAUCAAUUAUGUUGGAUUGUGUAAAUAUGCACAGGCUGGGGUGUUGCUAGGCCCAUCAGCACUUGGAGCUUCCCCGUUGUUUUUCGAUCACGUCCUUCCUCUUAAGGCUGUCAAGGUGUUGGAAACAUUUGCAAACUUGGCACUCGUUUACUAUAUGUUCCUAUUUGGUUUAGAAAUGGACCUAAAACCCAUCAUGAACAGUGGAUCGGAGGCUAUUCGCAUCGCCAUUUCUGGAAUUCUGAUUCCACUUGGCUUUGGGUUUGGCUUAUUUUAUCUAUUACAACUGCUUGAUAGUAAUGCAAAGGAAAUCAGCAGCUUUAAGGGCUCCAUAUUCUGGGCUAUUACUCUCACUGCUACCAACUUCCCUGACGUUGCUCAAGUUCUCACAGACCUCAAGCUCCUUCGCACCGAUAUAGGAAGAUUGGCCAUGUCUUCAGCUGUUAGCAGUGACUUCUGUACUUGGAUUCUUCUUGUGGUUGCAAUGUCAUUGCUCAAUGCUCACCCAUAUUAUGUUUUGCCAUCUAUCCUUGCUUUCGUUUUACUCUGUGGUUUUGUGAUCCGUCCGGUAAUCUCAAAGAUAGCUAACCAUGCUGUCAAAGGAGACGACUUCACUGAGCAACAUAUAUGGUUUAUUUUGGGUUGGAUUGUGUUUUUCGGAUUCAUCACUGAUGCUUUUGGUUUGCAUUCUAUGGUUGGUAGUUUCAUGUUAGGAGUUAUUAUGCCUCGUCGAGAUGUUAUCAGAAUGAAACUAAUGGAAAGGCUUGAUGAUUUUGUCUCUGGAAUUAUGAUGCCCCUCUUCUUCUUAACCUCAGGGACCCGAACUGAUGCUGGUUUUAUGCUGAAAGAAACUCCAUGGUAUGCAAUAUUUAUAAUCAUAUUCCUUAGUUUUGGAGCAAAGAUACUGAGCACAUUGCUCGUCUUUCUGCUCCACAACAAGCCAAUGGAGGAUGGUUUUGCUCUUGGAGUAAUAAUGAACACUAAAGGAGUUAUGUCGAUCAUUAUCAUUAAUGCCGGCCGGAAUAUCAAGGUAUGAACCUUGCAUGUUCUGCAGAAUUCUCAUAUUUCCUAUAUAGUAUUUGAGAUCAAGAAUUUCUUAAUUACAGAAAUUAACUAAAGAUCAUCUCAUUUCCCAGGUUCUAAACAACCAAACAUUUACCAUAAUGGUGUUUUCAGCCUUGGCCAUGACUUGUUUGGUGGAGCCAAUAGUGGCUGCCACAUACAAGCCUAGGAAAAAAUUGCUUAGAUACAAGCACAGGACCAUUGAGAGUGUACUGGCAAAUGGGGUAGAAUUUAAAAUCCUUGCAUGUGUUCUUUCAAAUCGUGAUGCACCAUGCAUGAUUAGCCUCCUUGAAGCCUCUAAUGCCAGCCCAGACUUCCCUAUCUGUGUCAUCGCCGUCCACUUGGUAGAGCUCACUGGACGGAACACAGCGAUGCUAAUUGUUCAUGACCACUCCAUGACAAGCAUGAGCAAUCCUGUCCGAACAAAAUCAGAAUCGGACCAAAUUAUCUUUACUUUUAAUUCAUACGAGAAGAGAAACGGAUCUGUGUCGGUUCAAACAAUCACUGCAAUUUCACCUUAUGAGAAUAUGCAUGAGGAUAUUUGCAGCCUUGCAUUGGACAAGCGAGUUUCCCUCAUCAUCAUACCAUUCCAGACAGUCUUAACUGCAGACGGCCGAGUAGAGGAUGCAAAAUCGACUUUUCCAGCUAUGAACCAAUAUGUGCUCGAAAACGCAACGUGUUCUGUGGGUCUACUGGUUGAUCGUGGACUCGGUUCCAUCAUGCAAACAGGUCCCGCAAGGAACAGUUCUAGUUCAAAAGGGCAUCGAAUUGCUAUGAUCUUCAUUGGUGGCCCUGAUGACAGGGAGGCAUUGGCUUAUGCGUGGCGAAUGGCAGGGCAUCCUGGAAUAAGUUUAACGGUGCUUCGAUUUCUUCCAGGUAGAAUAGCAGCACAAUCCACUCCAGAACACAGCUCAAACGGUCAUGAUGAGUUAUUCAGUUCCAUGGCGAUUGAGGAGAGGGAAAAGAGGCUUGAUGAUGAUUAUACAUAUGAGUUUAUGUUCAAGACUCUUGAUGAUGAGUCCAUUACUUACACAGAGAAAGUGGUGAAUAACGGGGAUGAAACUCUUGCGGAAAUUAGACGAAAUGAUGCAGAUUUUGAUCUCUAUAUAGUUGGAAGAGGGGAGAAAACACAAUCAGUGCUCACAUCAGGGUUAUCAGACUGGAAUAGCUGUCAGGAAUUGGGAACCAUGGGGGAUACACUGGCUUCAUCAAAUUUCGCGUCGCAUGCAUCAGUUCUUGUGGUGCAACAAUACGUACCCAAAAAUUAUAUAGCAAACCCUCAUGGAUUUUCAGCAAGUCUUGGCUCAAGAACUUGGCGACCACUAAUGGUUAGUGACCAGGUUCCCUUUGGCAAUACUACUAGCAUUUCACACCGUUAUGUUUAUGACCAAGAGGAAGAUGAUGACGAUGACUACGAUUACGAUUACGAUCGUAAAUAAUUUCAAAUUAAGCUCUAUGGUUACCGGUCAAAGCUGUCAAGAUAUCAAAGGCUCUAGUCCUACCACGUGUUAAGAUAUUAGAAAAUAAAAUAGUUAGAAUAUAUGUUGUUAGUAUUGUUAGACACUUAACAAAAUCUGUUACUGUUGGUUAGAUUACGCAAACAAGCUUCUAAUCAUAGUUGAUAUAAAAAAAAUGUAAUAGUGUUAGUAAAGAAAUAACAAAGAAUAAAAUACAAGAGCUUUUCGUCUUCCUCUGCUCUGCAGAAUUUCUCUCUGCUUCUCUUCAUUUCUCUUUUUUUUUUUUUGUGAAAAUCUUGCUAUCUUUUCAUAGUAUCAGAGCUUAGAAUUCUUAAUAUCUUGUGAUCUUCUGCUUCUAAUUUCUUGCAAAUCUGUGUUUCUGGCAUCAUUUUCUUAUCCAAACAAUUCUUUCAUAAUAAUCGAUCUGUCUAUUAUCUGUUUGAUAUAUUGUCAAACUGAAAAAUUCUUCUUCAAAUCUUCAACUUUCUGCAAUAUUCUUCCUUCUCGAUCUUUUAUUCUCUUCUUUUCUAUCUCUUGCACUCUAAAAAUGAUGCAAAUUCUCCUUAAGAGUCAUGGUAUUUUAGGAUUUGUUGAUGGCUCAAGAAAGUAUCCAAGUUGAUUUGAUGCAAAUUCUGAUCUUGAAGGUGUUGAAACUGAUGAUCAUCAGGUUUAAAAAAUGCAUGAUCGAGUAUUGAUGUAAUUGUUUAUUGCCACUCUCUCUUCUACUGCAAUUUUUUAUGUUAUUGCAUGUGUCAGUUAUCAUGACAAGUCGCAAUAUCUCUACUAUUUUCCUUGCUUUCAAUCUUGUAUUACAUUCCUGAAUGAAGCAUCUCCAAAUUGAUUAUCAUAUUUUAAUAAAAAAAAAACAUGUUAUCAAAGGUGAUUUAUUGGUCCAGUAUGUCUUUUUUGCAGAUCAGUUUGCUAUAUCCUAACUAAAGGUCUUUCCACUUUUUUAUUUUGGUGUCACUGUUCUAAUCUUAUGCUGGGCUCCUCCAAGCCUGCGAUUGAGGGGAAAUGUCAAGAUAUCAAAGGCCCUAGUCCUGUCACAUGUCAAGAUAUUAAAGAAUAAAAUGGUUAGAAUGUUGUUAGUAUUGUUAGAUAAUUAAAAAAAUUUGUUAUUGUUGGUUAGAUUACAUAAACAAGCUUCUAAUCAUAGUUGAUAUAGAAGAAAUGUAAUAGUGUUAGUAAAGAAAUAACAAAGAAUAAUGCUUUUCUUCUUCCUCUGCUCCGCAGAAUUUCUCUCUACUUCUCUUCGUUUCUCUUUUCGUCUCCGUGAAAAUCUUACUAUCUUUUCAAAAACCAAUUCAUAAACUUCACCGAAUAGUUUGUGUUUCAAGGUUUUUGAUGAAGUGGACGAUGGACAAUUACAUCAUUGUUACGAUUAAAAUGAUUUUGAUCAUCCUUGUUAAUUUAGCAACAAUGCUGCUACCCACUCACAUGGAAAUAUUGUAACAGCUUAUAAUCUACCUAGCAAAACAUUAAAAAAAAAAAAGAGUUUAGCAGCCAAUUUUCCAAAAAAAACCUAGCUUACCAUCCCUUCACUUCAUCUUGUAUUAUAACUUGUACUCUUCUUUUCACAAGCAAUUACAUGCAGCGCCCAGAGUCUUGAAUUUUUUUUUUUUUCUUUUUCACUAUAUUCAAUAUGUUUCUGUAGAACUGAAAAAAUAAAGUUGAGUGAGAGAUUAUUUCUAUCAAUAAUGAACUGUCUAUUAAUUUCAUCAAUUAUCUUAUUUAUGAAUGGGAUUCAUCUUUUGCAAAGCAUGGAGGGAUUCAAAUAAUUACUGACAAAAAGGCUAUAUCGAUUCACAUAAAUGUUGUGCGUGGACGCAAUUGGCAUCAACCAGCCAUGUCCAACAUGGUUGCAUAACGAACGUCAAGAUGGCAGCAAAUUAGGUGACCUAAAUGAUGAAAAUAGUGGUAGACGGUGGCCGAAAUAGUUCACUGAAAUGAUGGGGAAGAGGUUUGUUCCCCCAUUUUUACUAUAAAUAAAAUGGGUUAUCGGAGUUGAAUAUAUAUAUAUAUAUAUAUAUAUAUAUAGAGAGAGAGAGAGAGAGAGAGAGAGAGAGAGAGUAAGAGAGCUGUGAGUGUGAGAGAAGAUUGAUUUGAGUAGAGAGUGUUUUAUCCUCCUCAUUGUAGUUUGUAUUUCUCUCUUUGCUAAUGAAUUCAACAUCUCUGUGGAUGCAGGCAAGUUAUUGAACAACGUUAAAUCUUGUUGUGUCUAUGAAACAAUCAAAAGUUCUUAACAACUAGCAUCAGGACAUUGUUAGGAAAACGUUUGAUCUUUUCCUCGAUUUCAAAGUCUUUCAAAAUGUGUUUUGAAUAUCCCUUUGUGAAGGAGAUGCUACGAGGAAUACACUGAAGAAAAGGGAAAGAAAAACCAUUUUCUUGCAUGAUGUCUGGCAUAUACAUAACACCUCUACUUCUUAAAUAAGUUGUAAAGUGUUUGGAAACGCACCGUGAUUUUUAAAAUUUUGGAAAAUUUUUUAUUUAAAAUUAGUUUUCAAUAUUUAAAAAUAAAAUAAAAUAUAUUAUUUUGAUAUAUUUUCAAUUAAAAAAUAUUUUCUUCAACCCUAACACAUUAUCAAACACCCCUAAUAACUUAGCUAUGACUUGAUAAAAUUUCAAAUUAAAAUAUUCCUAGCAUUAAAGUGACUAAGAUUCUAAAAAUAAGUUAAUAUAAAAUUUCAUAAAUAAAAAAUAUUUUCCUUACAAGAUUUUAUAACAAUGAUUUUGAUUUAUUGAAUCUAAAUUCUAAAAAUGCACUCAUUUAAUAUAUUUAAAUCAUGAGUUUAAACAAAUUAGUUUUAUGUUCUGGAAGAAAAUAGAGUUUUAGAAAGUAUAUAAAUAAUUACAGAAGAAAGAAUUGGGCUAGAGCACCAAGCCCGAACGCUUGCCUCUAGGAUGCCAGGCCCGCACCAAGGAAAAGCAAGCAAGCGGUGCCUUGCUUCGUCUUCUCCUGUGCUCACUAAAACGUCGUUCCUCGAACCCUUUUUUCCAUGUAAAACUCCUUUUUUUUACCAUUUUCGAUUACAAUCCAUCCAAAAACUCUUCAAAAUCCAAUCAAAGUUUCGAAACAAAAAUUGUUUUCCAGUUUAGAUUUCUUUUAAAAAAAGAGUGGAUGAAAUGAUUAAAAUAUUUAAAAAUUUAAGCAGAAGGAUUGACAUGGUCCAAAAUUAAAUAGAAAAAUUGAUAUUACUACAAUUUAAAAGUAUAGAAAUAGGAGGUGUAUUUUUUGCAUAAGUUUAACUUGUCGAAUGCGAUUCCAUGAGCUUCUUCUUCUUUUUUAUCAGGAAUCGUGUUGAAAAACAUGAUGACAUGCAACUUUCCCUCACCACCCCUAAUUUUCCCCUUCUCUCUCCUCCAAAUAAGCUAUGAUCAGAAUAAAUGCAAAUGAACUUUAGGGGCCGUAAAUGAAAAAAUCAUCAUUUAAAAGACCAUAAAUAUCCAUAAAAAAGGAAAAAGAAAAUAUAGAGAUAGAUUAUGGUGUGAAUUCAUGGUCAAGUGUGUUUGAUAUUGUGUUAACUUUUGUAGUUGUGGUUUAAAAAAUAUUAUUUUAUAAAAAAUCCUUUUAGUCGAGGUUGGUUUUGAAAAAUAUAUAUUUGAUUAAAACUGUGGUUGAAAUUGAGAUUAAACAAAAUAGUUUAAUGUGUUUGGUUAAAAAUAUUUUUCAAAUUGAGAUUAUAAAAUAACUAAAAAAAACAUAUAUUAAUAUUGAUGAUUUUUAAUUGAAAUAUUGUUAAUUUAACUACUGUUAUUACAUCAUGAAAUAAACAAUACUUUAUAUCAAGUAUUUUUUAUUGUUUCAUUAAACUAUUUAUAAUUUCAUCACAUAUAAAAUCCAUCCGACAAGGACUACAGUUUUCAUGGCUUCCUAAACGUGCAAUAAUAUCAGGUAAAAUAUCAUCAGGAAUAAAAUUGAAAUUGCGAUCAAAUUCUACAAAUGUUAUGUCAUCAUGGAAUCUUCUUCUAAUAUAAUUAUGUAGUGUCAUUAAAUAAUGUUAAACACUAGCUUUUUAAAUAAAACACAAUGCAUGAGAAAUUUUGUUGGAUUUUUUUUUAUUUUACUGGGUCGGACCUAGUCCAAUACAUUAAUACAUUUAGGUUGGGACCGGAACCUAUCCGGGUCAUGAACAAUAGAGACACUCUCUACUGUUCACGUGAACAAUGGUACCGCUGAAUUAAUUCACAUGAAUAGUGGGGCAUAAGCAUAGAAAUUUUGCUUCUCUUAAACCUUGGACACAACCGCAAUUUAAAUGGGUCCCACCAAAAAAAACUCAGUUUUUAACUUAACCAAACGUUAAUAUUUGUGGCUUACUCUGAACCUCAACCACAGUCUCAAUGCCAAACGAGCAUUAUAUAAUGUGUCUGGGAGUUGCUUAUGCUUUUAAGUGUUUAUUAAAAGAGUUAUUUUUAUUUGAAAAAAAUAUUGCAUUAAUUUUUUUAAUAUUUUCAAAUGAUUUUGAUUCAUUGAAGCUUAAUUCUUAAUCAACCUAAUAUUGAAGAAUAAAUUUAAAAAAACAAUUAAUCAAGUAAAAAAAAACUUGGAUCAACUCGAGUUAACCUGUCAAACCUAAAUCAUGAGACUAGGAUACCCCACUAAAAAACAAUAUGAGGCCUAAUUUUCUAUUAAUCUAAUGUUAAAGGAUUAAAUUCAGAAAAGAUAAAAAAUAAAAAAAAAACUCAAGUCAAUCUAGGUUACAUGUAAUGCUUUUAACACAAGUCAUGAAACUAGGAUAACCCUAUAAAAAUAAAAUAUAAAUAAAUUAAGACUCUUAAUUUUUAAUCAACCUAAAUUUUAAAGGAUAAAAUUAAAAAAAAAAAAUAAACCAAAAAAACUAAAUCAAUCGGGUUAACUCACAAAACUUAUGCCCUAAGUCAUAAAACUAAGAUAACCUUAAAGAAAGCAAAAAAUAAAUAAAUUAUAAAGUUAAAUUUCCAAUAAAUAUAACGUGAAAGGAUAAAAUAUAUAAAAAAAGACUAAAUCAAAAAUAAAAAAGUAAAAAAAUAUUGUUCCAAUAAAUCAUACUUCGUAAGGAGAGGAAUAUUGGUUUACAUUAUGUUCCCCUCUUCAAUUAGUUUUUGUUUGCUAGAUAGGUAGUUUGCAUUACACCCGGGUUAGUUAAAAAAUUUCCUAACAUAAAAAAUGUUAAGUUAGUGCUAGUGUUUUUUUAAAAAAAAAAAAAAGAGGGAAAAAUAUGAGAUUCAGAUUACUAACUUAACCGCGUUCAAUAAACUUGAUUAACUUAAGAAUAUGAUUUAAAAAAAAAUCAUAAAUAACACGAACAAAAAAUACAAUAAUAAGUUAUACUCAGAAGAAUAAAAAAAAAAUCUUUCAAAGACCUACCAUUAAUCUAUCAUAGACACUACUCACCCAUCAAAAAUUGCUUAUUAAGAAGUUCAAACAUUAUUGUGAAAGGCUUUAUGUCAACACCAAAAGGGAUGGCACAUAUCAUUAAAGUAACAAACUAAUUAAAAUAUCAUGCGAUGAGUAUCUCAUGCUUAUAUUUAAUAAAUUAAUUUAAUUUAAAAACAAAAUUUCUUAAAAUAAGCUAAACAUGAAUAGAGAAUGAUAAAUAAAAAAACAUGAUAUAACUCAGGUUACUAUCAAAAUUAUUGAAAAAUCCUAUAAAAAUUAAAUUUAAAAAAAAACAAUGGAGUUCAAUCUUUAACUAAAUAACUGUCAAAAUAUGAAAAUGAAAAAAUAUGAGCUGAAAAAAAAAAACAAUCAAACUUGGGAGAAUUUCUUCAAUUUAGGUUAAUCUUCUAAACUUGCUGCUAGUGAAAUCUUAGACUUGAGCUCAAUCAAGAAGUUUAAUUUCAAACAAAUUAAAUGUUGGAUCAUGAAAUAGAAAAAAAAAAACAAGAAGAUCAAUCUUAAAAAAAUGUCAAAGCAAGAAAAAAAACUAGCAAUUAAGAUAAUAAGGAUCAAAUUGGCAGAAAAACUUAAAAGGGAUGAAAUUAUAAGAAAAAAAUCAUUUAAAAGAACAAAGAUCAAAUCUAAAAAAUAUAAAAAUUAAAAGAAGUAAAAUUAAAACAAAAAAUUAAUUUCAUAAAUUAUUUUAAAUAAAAAAAUAAUAAUCAAAAAAUGAAAUAUGAAUAAAUAUCAAAGUGAAAGGCUACUUUUAUGUUUUGCAGGGUCAAUGUAAGAAUCCCGGAGUAAAAAAAAAAAAAAAUGAUUGCAUGCACCAAACUGUACAUCUGUUUGUAACACAUGCUAGACUUGGAAGGAGGGGAAGCUAUGACGAAUCUAACGAAGCCUUUGUAUGACCAUUGCACAACGUCCCAAGCUUUGCCCAAAGGGCAUGGGGACAUUUCACACGCUGACACAUAACAUGUAAGAUAAAUUUUUUAAUAAUAAUUUUACUAAAUCAAUUACCGAACAUCCCCACUAGAACCACUUUAUUACAGAAAAAAAAAAACCAAUAUAAAAAGACUCAAAUGCUCCUAGAUCAAAGCUCUAAAAAAAUUGAUUUUAAAAGCAAAUGCAUCCUUUAAUUGUUUGUAAAGACCUUACUGCGCUAUUCAAUUUGUAAAUGUUUUUUUUAUUAUUUAGAAAAGACUAUUCUACUCCGUGUAAGACUUAAUCGUCCCUUUACUAUUGUAAUCAAUGUUUGCUUUUGGUUUUGCUUUUCCAAAAGGUUAAGAGUAUAAUUAUCAACAAGUGAACGACUUGAAGAGACAGGGGAGACAUGAAGGACGACUUUGAAGGAUGAAAGUCAUAAAAAAAUACAAAACAUUUUAAUUCUACGUACCUACAAGGUUUUAAUAAUACCAGCACAUGUACGUAUGCAAGACUGUGGAUGAAAAACAAAAUAUUUAAGCAAAGUUUAGGUAUUAAUUAUGUUUUUUUUAUUAUUAUUUUUUUACAAAUAGACAAGAACACACAUGCCACAAGCCCCGCAGCAUUAUACGGGCAUGGCAUCUAGUGCCUUCCGAAAAGUUAAGAGUAUAAUUAUCAAUAAAUGGACGACUUGGAGAGGCAAGGGGGCAUUAAGAAUGACUUCGAAGAACAAAAGUCAUAAAAAAAUACAAAGUAUUUUAAUUCUACAGGCCUGCAAGGUUUUAAUAGUACCAGCACAUGUGCGCCUGCAAGGCUGCGGGUGAAGAACAAAAAAUUUAAACAAAAUCUAGUAUUAAUAAUUUUUUUUUUAUGAUUUUUUUUACAUAUCGACAACAACACACAUGCCACAAGCCCCGCAGCAUUACACGGGCAUGGCAUCUAGUGCCUUCCGAAAGGUUAAGAGUAUAAUUAUCAACAAAUGGAUGACUUGAAGAGACAAAGGGGCAUUAAGAAUGACUUUGAAGAACAAAAGGUUAUAAUAAAAAAAAACGAAGCGUUUUAAUUCUACAUACCUACAAGGUUUUAAUAGUACCAGCACAUGUGCGCAUGUAAGGCUGCGGGUGAAGAACAAAAAAUUUAAGCAAAAUCUAGGUAUUAAUAAUGUUUUUUUUUAUGAUUUUUUUUACAAAUCGACAACAACACACAUGCCACAAGCCUCGCAGCAUUACACGAGCAUGGCAUCUAGUGCCUUUCGAAAGGUUAAAAGAAUAAUUAUCAACAAAUGGACGACUUGGAGAGACAAGGGGGGCAUUAAGAACGACUUUGAAGAACAAAAGUCAUAAAAAAAUACGAAGCGUCUUAAUUCUACAUACCUACAAGGUUUUAAUAGUAAAAGCACAUAUGCGCAUGCAAGGCUGCGGGUGAAGAACAAAAAAUUUAAGCAAAAUCUAGGUAUUAAUAAUGUUUUUUUUUAUGAUUUUUUUUACAAAUCGACAACAACACACAUGCCACAAGCCUCGCAGCAUUACACGAGCAUGGCAUCUAGUGCCUUUCGAAAGGUUAAAAGAAUAAUUAUCAACAAAUGGACGACUUGGAGAGACAAGGGGGGCAUUAAGAACGACUUUGAAGAACAAAAGUCAUAAAAAAAUACGAAGCGUCUUAAUUCUACAUACCUACAAGGUUUUAAUAGUAAAAGCACAUAUGCGCAUGCAAGGCUGCGGGUGAAGAACAAAAAAUUUAAGCAAAAUCUAGGUAUUAAUAAUGUUUUUUUUUAUGAUUUUUUUUACAAAUCGACAACAACACACAUGCCACAAGCCUCGCAGCAUUACACGAGCAUGGCAUCUAGUGCCUUUCGAAAGGUUAAAAGAAUAAUUAUCAAAAAUGGACGACUUGGAGAGACAAGGGGGCAUUAAGAACAACUUUGAAGAACAAAAGUCAUAAAAAAAUACGAAGCGUCUUAAUUCUACAUACCUAUAAGGUUUUAAUAGUACAAGCACAUAUGCGCAUGCAAGGCUGUGGUGAAGAACAAAAAAUUUAAGCAAAAUCUAGGUAUUAAUAAUGUUUUUUAUGAUUUUUUUUACAAAUCAACAACAACACACCUGCCACAAGCCUCUCAGCAUUAUACAGGCAUGGCAUCUAGUGCCUUCCGAAAGGUUAAGAGUAUAAUUAUCAACAAUGGACGACUUGAAGAGGCAAGGGGGGCAUUAAGAAUGACUUUGAAGAACAAAAGUCAUAAAAAUAAAUACGAAGCAUUUAAUUCUAUACCUACAAGGUUUUAAUAAUACCAGCACAUGUGCGCCUGCAAGGCUGCGGGUGAGAACAAAAAAUUUAAGCAAAAUCUCGGUAUUAAUAAUGUUUUUUUUAUGAUUUUUUUUACAAAUCAACAACAACACACAUGCCACAAGCCCCGCAACAUUACACGGGCAUGGCAUCUAGUGCCUUCCGAAAGGUUAAGAGUAUAAUUAUAAACAAAUGGACGACUUGGAGAGACAAGGGGGCAUUAAGGAGGACUUUGAAGAGCAAAAGUCAUAAAAAAAAUACGAAGCAUUUUAUUCUACAUACCUGCAAGGUUUUAAUAGUACCAGCAAAUGUGCGCCUGCAAGGCUGCGGGUGAAGAACAACAAAUUUAAGCAAAAUCUAGUUUUAAUAAUGUUUUAUUUUAUGAUUUUUUUUACAUAUUGACAACAACACACAUGCCACAAGCCCCGCAGCAUUACAUGGGCAUGGCAUCUACUGCCUUCCGAAAGGUUAAGAGUAUAAUUAUCAACAAAUGGAUGACUUGAAGAGACAAAGGGGCAUUAAGAAUGACUUUGAAGAACAAAAGGUUAUAAUAAAAAAAAACGAAGCGUUUUAAUUCUACAUACCUACAAGGUUUUAAUAGUACCAGCACAUGUGCGCAUGUAAGGCUGCGGGUGAAGAACAAAAAAUUUAAGCAAAAUCUAGGUAUUAAUAAUGUUUUUUUUUUAUGAUUUUUUUUACAAAUCGACAACAAACACACAUGCCACAAGCCUCGCAGCAUUACACGAGCAUGGCAUCUAGUGCCUUUCGAAAGGUUAAAAGAAUAAUUAUCAACAAAUGGACGACUUGGAGAGACAAGGGGGGCAUUAAGAACGACUUUGAAGAACAAAAGUCAUAAAAAAAUACGAAGCGUCUUAAUUCUACAUACCUACAAGGUUUUAAUAGUAAAAGCACAUAUGCGCAUGCAAGGCUGCGGGUGAAGAACAAAAAAUUUAAGCAAAAUCUAGGUAUUAAUAAUGUUUUUUUUUAUGAUUUUUUUUACAAAUCGACAACAACACACAUGCCACAAGCCUCGCAGCAUUACACGAGCAUGGCAUCUAGUGCCUUUCGAAAGGUUAAAAGAAUAAUUAUCAACAAAUGGACGACUUGGAGAGACAAGGGGGGCAUUAAGAACGACUUUGAAGAACAAAAGUCAUAAAAAAAUACGAAGCGUCUUAAUUCUACAUACCUACAAGGUUUUAAUAGUAAAAGCACAUAUGCGCAUGCAAGGCUGCGGGUGAAGAACAAAAAAUUUAAGCAAAAUCUAGGUAUUAAUAAUGUUUUUUUUUAUGAUUUUUUUUACAAAUCGACAACAACACACAUGCCACAAGCCUCGCAGCAUUACACGAGCAUGGCAUCUAGUGCCUUUCGAAAGGUUAAAAGAAUAAUUAUCAACAAAUGGACGACUUGGAGAGACAAGGGGGGCAUUAAGAACAACUUUGAAGAACAAAAGUCAUAAAAAAAUACGAAGCGUCUUAAUUCUACAUACCUAUAAGGUUUUAAUAGUACAAGCACAUAUGCGCAUGCAAGGCUGUGGGUGAAGAACAAAAAAUUUAAGCAAAAUCUAGGUAUUAAUAAUGUUUUUUUAUGAUUUUUUUUACAAAUCAACAACAACACACCUGCCACAAGCCUCUCAGCAUUAUACAGGCAUGGCAUCUAGUGCCUUCCGAAAGGUUAAGAGUAUAAUUAUCAACAAAUGGACGACUUGAAGAGGCAAGGGGGGCAUUAAGAAUGACUUUGAAGAACAAAAGUCAUAAAAAUAAAUACGAAGCAUUUUAAUUCUACAUACCUACAAGGUUUUAAUAAUACCAGCACAUGUGCGCCUGCAAGGCUGCGGGUGAAGAACAAAAAAUUUAAGCAAAAUCUCGGUAUUAAUAAUGUUUUUUUUAUGAUUUUUUUUACAAAUCAACAACAACACACAUGCCACAAGCCCCGCAACAUUACACGGGCAUGGCAUCUAGUGCCUUCCGAAAGGUUAAGAGUAUAAUUAUAAACAAAUGGACGACUUGGAGAGACAAGGGGGCAUUAAGGAGGACUUUGAAGAGCAAAAGUCAUAAAAAAAAUACGAAGCAUUUUAAUUCUACAUACCUGCAAGGUUUUAAUAGUACCAGCAAAUGUGCGCCUGCAAGGCUGCGGGUGAAGAACAACAAAUUUAAGCAAAAUCUAGUUUUAAUAAUGUUUUAUUUUAUGAUUUUUUUUACAUAUUGACAACAACACACAUGCCACAAGCCCCGCAGCAUUACAUGGGCAUGGCAUCUACUGCCUUCCGAAAGGUUAAGAGUAUAAUUAUCAACAAAUGGAUGACUUGAAGAGACAAGGGGGGCAUUAAGAAUGACUUUGAAGAACAAAAGGUCAUAAAAAAAAAAAACGAAGCGUUUUAAUUCUACAUACCUACAAGGUUUUAAUAGUACCAGCACGUGUGCGCAUGCAAGGAAAAAUAUUUUGUAUGUAAUUGAAGGAAAAAUAUAAUUAAUCUAAAAAAACAAUGUAAAAACUUAAUAAUAAAAAUAUCAAAAUAUGUGAAGGAAAAAUAUAAUUAAUCUAAAAAAAUAAUUUAAAAACUUAAUAAUAAAAAUAUCAAAAUAUGUGUUUUUUUAUUUGAAUAUUUAUGACCAUAAAUAUUUUAAAAAAAAUUAAGAAAUUAAAAAAGAAACUUAAGAGUUGUCUUAAAAAAAUGUCCAGAUGCUUGGGCUAAGGUGGGAUAAUAUGCAUAGCCUAACACAAUGAAACCUCGGCACGUGAGCCUGUAAGGCCUGGAAGGUGCACAUGACUUUCUAUCUCCUUUUUUUUCUUUUUCUUUUUAACAUCCUCUUUAUUUCAUAUAUAAAAACAAAUUUGCAAUGCGGCAUCUACUAGUAAAGAUUUCAGCCAUAGGAGAUAGUCAAAAAGCCAGGGUUUGUGUUUUUUACCUCAAAAAUUACUUUUCAAUUAUUUCUUACCUAAAAUUAAAGCCAUGUUUGUUUCCCUGAAAGUAGUUUUCAGGAAACCAUUUUCCAAACUUUAUUGUAUUUGUUUGUCACUAGGAAAGUUGGUCAACGAAAAACACUUUCCGGUCAAUGAAAAACACUUUCUAGUCAAUAAAAAAUACUUUUUGGUCAACUGAAAACACUUUCUAGUCAAUUUUAGUCAAAGAAAAAUUUGACUUGGUUUUCAGGAAAGUGUUUUCUCUUUAGCUGUGUUUGUUUUUCGGAAAGUGGUUUCCGGGAAAUCACUUUCCAAACUUUCUUGUGUUUAUUUGCCAGUAGGAAAGUUGGUCAAUGGAAAACACUUUCCAGUAAAAGGAAAAUUUGGCUUUGUUUCAGGAAAGUGUUUUCCUGAAAAAUUUUGGGGGGAAAACACUUUCCGGAAGUUGUGAAAAAUUUAGAAAUGUAAUUAUUUGCUAAUUAUAUCAAAUUUGAUCCUCAAACUUUUAAUUGCUACAUAUAUUUUGUUUUGAAUAUUUAUUUUUCAAUUUCAUCUCUUAAAAUUUUAUUUUUAUAUUAACUUUGGUUUUUAUUUUUAUAAUUGCUAUUUGCUUUUUCCUUAUCAUUUUUUUAUUGAAAUUUUUUAUCUAUCAAAUUUGCUCCUCAUUCUUUUGAUUGUUACUUAUUUUAUUUAAAAUAAUUUAUGAAAUGUUGAUUAUUAUUAUUUUAAUUUCUUCAUCUUUCAUUUUUUUUAAUUUUUUAGAUUUGAUCUCUAUUAUUUUGAUUAUUAUUUAUUUUAUUUGAGAUAAUUUAUAAAAUUAUAUAUUUUUUUCAAUUUCAUUCUCAUUCAACUUUUUAAUUUGUAAGAUUUGUUCCUCAUUAUUUUAAUAAAUUUGAGAAAAAUAAAAUAUUAAUAAGUUAUUUUCCAGUUCAUUUUCCAUAACAUAACUAAACACUGGAAAGUGUUUUCCAAGUCAUUUUCAAUUACACUACCAAAUAUCGGAAAAUACUUUCUCGGAAUUCACUUUCCCUGGAAUUCACUUUCUAAAAGGAAACCAAUUUUCAGCAAACAAACAAAACCUUAAAAUAAAAAAAACUUAUUAAGUACUUUAACUAACUCAUUUUUUACUUAAAAAUAUUUUUAAAUUAAUAAAAAAACCCAAAAUUAAAUUGCAUAAAAAUAGUUUUGAACUCCAACCUAUUUUUUUAGUAAAAUAAAAUUUAAAAACAUCUUAAUAACAUUUAUUACCAAAAAAAUCUACGAAUACAAAGGUAAAAAUGCGAACCCAGAGGCAACAUAUCUCUUUUGUUUGGAAAUCACGUUUCCCUCUCAUUUAAGGAUGAAAUAUUUAAAAUAUAAUAAAUAUUAAAGAACAAAAGGAUAAGGAUAUUUGAUAAAAAUAUUUUUUGCCCCGAACGUUUUGGACCAAUUUGCACGUCGAAGGAGACACAAGUCAAGUUCACCAGAGGUGGGACCAGUCUCCCUAAUCUCAUUCAUUGCUAAGGGAACCCACUUGUCUACGAUUUGAGUUGUCCUCAUGGGAAUUCAUGAUGUUACCAUGUUUUUAGCAUCCUCUUGAAAAAAAGAAAAAACACUUUCUUAUAUGUCACCAGUCUUUCCUGAGAGGAAGUAGAACGCUAGCAUUAUCAUAUGGCUUCAGCCUAUUCUGCUUUGUUGCUUGUGUUUUUCUUUUGGAUUUACGAACCUGUAAGUCCCCACCCGAACCAGACACACAAGAUAGAAUUAGGUUCUUCACUCUCCACCAAUUUCCCACCAACUUCGUGGCGCUCCCCUUCUGAUCAUUUUGCUUUUGGGUUCUACCGACAGGGCAGCGGCUUCAUAGUGGGAAUUUGGUUGGCGAGUAAGCCAGAUGCUACAAUCACCUGGACAAUAAACCGAGAUGUCCCUCAUGUGUCAUCAAAUGCUACACUGGAGUUGACCAGAAAAGGUAAGCUCCUUUUGAGAACGCAUAGAAAUAAUGCAACUGAUGAAGAGAAACUCAUUGCUAAUUUUACGGGGUCAGCUUCAUAUGCUCGAAUGCUUGAUUCUGGGAAUUUUGUGCUCUACAAUGAAAGUUUCGAAGCAAUAUGGGAAAGUUUUAACUUUCCUACGGAUACUAUAUUAGGAGGACAGAAUCUAUACAAAGGGGGUGAACUGUUUUCCAGUGCAUCUGCAAUCGAUUUGUCCACGGAAAGGUUUCGUCUUAAAAUGCAAGAUGAUGGGAACCUUGUUUUGUAUCCCGUAGACACUCUAGACCUUCCACUGGAUGCGUAUUGGAGCUCAGGAACUGAUGGUAAUCCUGGUAUCCAUCUAAUUUUAACUGGUACAGGAGAUCUGUUACUCGUUAACCAAACCUUGCACAAAAUCAAAGACGUGUCACUCUCUGGUUCAGAAUCGAACAGCACCUCAAUUAUCUACCGGGCAACAUUGGAGCAUGAUGGAAUUUUCCGGUUGUAUUCCCAUGACCUCGAUGGCGUAGCUAAGUACAUCAUUUCCCUUUUGUGGUAUGUACGAUGGAAACAGUGUGAAGUGAGAGGGUUCUGUGGAUUCAACAGCUACUGCACCAUGAACGAUGAUCAACCUGACUGUCUUUGUCUUCCUGGAACUGCUUACGUUGAUCCCAACCAGAGAUUUCGUGGAUGUGAGAGAGACUACAACGAAGGAUCCUGCAAACAUACAAACGAAAUGUCAUCGCUAUAUAACAUUACUGUUAUGGACCAAAUUGCGUGGGAUGACAACGCUUAUUUUCAAGCAUCAAUGUCAGAGGAAGGUUGCAGAAAGUCCUGUUUGGAGGAUUGUAACUGUGCUGGCGCGCUGUACGAACUAGGGAAGUGCAAGAAACAGAAGUACCCAGUGAAAUAUGCUUCGAAAACGCAAGAUCAAUCAUCAAAAUCUUUCUUCAAGGUGGCUUUGGAGAGUAUCAAAAGCAGCAACCAUUCCAGUGCCAUAGGAAUGGUGCCUUCAGUAAUCCAGAGGACAAGCAAGAAGGCAGUGGUACUAAUUCUUGUUAUGAGUUUAGCCUUCAUCACAUGGUGUUUAGUCGCCCUAGCAAUCUCUGGCCUUUUCAUCUUUAAGUCGAGAGUCAUUAAGGGUAGAAUGCAGACGGAAAGCGGAAAUUUUGGCUUGGCCCGUGAGCUCACUCUGAGAGCAUUCUCUUAUCGUGAGCUUAAGAAAGCAACCAAGGGUUUCAAAGAAGAGUUGGGGAAAGGAUCUUCUGGAGCUGUUUACAAAGGGACUUUAUACAAAGGUAAAAAGGCUAUUGCGGUGAAGAGGCUGGAGAAGGUGGUCAGUGAAAGUGAAAGGGAGUUCCUGACGGAGAUGCGUUCAAUUGGAAAAACUCAUCAUAAGAAUUUGGUUCGGCUUCUUGGCUACUGCACUGAGGGUUCCCAUAGGCUCCUAGUAUAUGAAUACAUGAGCAAUGGGUCACUUGCAAAUCUUCUCUUCCGAAAUGAAAGGAUUCCAGAUUGGAGCGACAGAGUGAAAAUUGCUCUAGAUAUUGCUAAAGGGAUCUUAUAUCUGCAUGAAGAGUGUGAAGCAUCAAUCAUCCAUUGUGAUAUAAAGCCUCAAAACAUUCUGAUGGAUGAUUUUUGGACUGCUAAGAUCUCUGAUUUUGGUCUGGCAAAAUUGUUAGUGCCUGAUCAAACAAGAACCCUGACUAUAGCCAGAGGGACACCAGGUUAUAUGGCACCUGAAUGGACUAAGAUCAGCACUCCAACAUCAGUGAAGGUAGAUGUUUACAGUUAUGGAGUUGUGCUCUUGGAAAUUGUUUUCUGCAGGAGAAACAUGGAAAUCAACGUAUCAAAACCAGAGGAAAUUCUACUUUCUAAAUGGGCAUACGAGCUUUUGGUUGCAAGAGAAUUGGACAGGCUUGAUCUUGGUGAAGAUGUAGACAGGCAGAAAAUGGAGAAAAUGGUUAUGAUCGGCAUUUGGUGUAUUCAAGAUGAACCAGGUCUCCGCCCUUCUAUGAAGACUGUCGUGAUGAUGUUAGAAGGAAUUACUGAUGUAUCUGUUCCUCCACACCCAACUUCAGCUUCAGCAUAAGUGUCUAUGUAUGCGUGUCUACGCAGGAAAACUAUCAACCGCUUUCUCUAAAAGUCUCUUGUUUCCUAUAGUUGUAGCAGCACUCCCAAAUAAAGAAAUAAUUUAUUGGUUUUAGGGGUGGGACGUUAUGGAAGCAGUAGUUUAAAGAGCAUGAUGAUCUUGAUUGUGUAGUAAGACUAACAUGAAGCACGCUUAUGUUUCUGUUUCCUCCAAAUUCAAUGUGUCCAUGCUUUGAUAAUUAUUAAUGGCCACUCCAUAUAUAGAAAAUAUUAAAGCUUGUUCCAUAUAUAUACGGUAAUUGUUUCUGGUGAAUCGGAAAUGUUUUCCAGUUGCAGGUCUUUUCUUCCUCUGGGAAAUUUGUUUUGUGAUGAACAUUUCACGUUACCACUGAACUGAUGAAAUUUUAUUGAGAGAAUCUUUACUGGGAUAACAUAGCAGUUCAAGCUUUUAGUAUCUAUUAUAUCCCAAAAUUUAACAAAGGAAUCCACAACAGCAUCUUGUCUUCUUGGAAGGUGCUUUUGGGUAUCAGUAAAGUAAAUGAAGUGGGUGUUUGUUUUCGUGGUUGCUUCUGCUUUUGAAGCAAAUCACAAAAAAUAAGUGUUAGGUAACGGAAGAAACAUGAUUUAUUUCAUGAGGGACCCACCAUGUUUUGUGUUUUGAACGCAGGUCAGCAAAUAGCAGUUUCAUGCUGCUUCUCUUUGCCUUCAUACACAAUAAGCUAUUCACUUUUAUAAAAAGAUUGUUCAAAUUAUAUGUACAGUGUCAAUUGUUAUGAUUGGGAAAGAGAAGAAGUUUACCUGUGCCGCAGAUGAAGCAAGUGGAUAUGGUGCACUCUGGACAAUGCCUCUUAUUCUGCCUUUAGUUUUCUUUUUCUCCGAUUCUUUCUAUUCUAUUGUUUUUUUUUAUUAUUCUGGAUUGUCCUCUCUCUCUCUCUCUCUCGGUUUCGAUCCUUUAUUUUUUCUCUUCUUCGUUUGUGUUUCUUUUCUAUUCUGUUGUUCAAAGGGGGAGAGCCGAGGGGGCUGGUAUACUUGGAGGCAAAGCUGGUGCUUGUGCAUUGGUUGGCCAGUGCUUUCCUCUCUCUGUUUCUAUUUUUCCUUUGCUUACACUUCGAUCUUCCUUCCAUGGGUCUUUUUUUUUUCUAUCCUUUUGUUCUCCUGUGUUUGCUUGUCCUCCCUUUCGCCUUCUGUGUAUAUCGUUCACUCCUUGUGUUCUGUGUGUCACUUUGUGUCUGUCCCCUGUUCUUGUUUUUGUUUGUCCUCUGUUUAUCCCCGGGGUCCUUUUUGUUUUCUUUCCCUUUGUUUCCGUUCUUCGUUCGUGCCUCGGUAAUGGCAUGCAUCGUGGGGGCGAGAAGGAUGUUACCAUGAUUUGCUGUCGUUUCCACUGACUCAGGAUGAAGGAGAUGAACAGUUUGCUUUGAAACGACGUCGUUUUGAGCUGAGGCGAUCAUUCUUCAAUUUGGCCACUGGAAUUAUGAUAUCUUGCAAUCAGACCAUUAUUCAUGGAAAAUUCUUUUUUUGUUUUUUUAAUUUGGCCCCCGGAUCAAUUUCAAUUUUUAAUUUUAUUUUUAAUUGUGUUUUAUUAAAAAAAAAUUAGAAGAAAAUCGACAUAGCAAUUACAAAAUUUGAUCACAAUUCCAAUUUUAUUCAUGAUGAUAUUUUACUUGGUGUUGUUGCGUGCUUAAGAAACCAAAAAAACUAUAGUCCGGAUGGAUUUCAUAUGUAAUAAAAUUGUAAAUAGUUUAAUGGAACAAUAAAAAAUAUUUGAUAUAAGUAUUAUUUAUUCCAUGAUAUAAUAGCAGUAAUUAAAUCUAUAAUAUUUAAAUUAAAAACCAUAUAUAUAUAUAUAUAUAUAACCUCAAUUUAAAAAGUAUUUUUUUAUUCAAACAUAUUAAACUACUUUUUAUUCAACCUCAAUUUCAACCAUAAUUUUAAUCAAAUAUAUAUACAUAUCAAAUCAACCUCAACUAAAAUUAAUUUUUUUAAAUUAUAACUAUAAAAACUAUAAUACUAUCAAACACACUCGAACUCGAAGAGAGCGACUUAGCUAGCUGGGUCUUACACGUAACUUUGGGAGACUUUUGUGGAAAACUAUACCAAAGUUACAGACAGGUCUAGGGCGGUGGGACCUGUGCUAAAGUUUCUACUGCUAGCAAACAAAUCAUUCAUUCAUUUCACACGGUUUUAGUUUUGAAGUUGGGUAGAACUUUCUUCUAUUUGACAAUUAGUCUUGUAUGCUCUCAGGUCUCAAACAAUAGCUAUCUUUUCUGUAUCUGUUUUUCUCUCUCAACCUCCUUCCUUCCUGCAUGGCUUUGGAAUCAUGCCUUUUGCUUCUCAUACUAUUUCUACUCUUUGUAGAAACAAGAACUCAACCAAACCAAUGUGGUGAAAUACACUUGGGUUCUCAGUUAUCUCCCACUUCCAACUUACUUUCAUGGUUCUCCCCUUCAGGCCAUUUUGCAUUUGGCUUCUAUCCACAAGGAAAUGGAUUUGCCAUAGGAAUAUGGCUGAUCGGUCAACCUGAUAACACAGUCGUCUGGACUGCAAAUCGAGAUGAUCCACCAGUCUCCUCCGAUGCUACAAUCCACUUCUCGGAAGAGGGUAAGCUGCUUCUUCGAACUGGGCAAGGCCGCUAUGAGAAACUAAUUGCUGAUGUGUCUGUAUCAGAUUCAGCUUCAAUGCUUGAUUCUGGUAAUUUCGUGCUUUACAGUAAUUGUAGUAUAAUUUGGCAAAGCUUUGAUUUUCCAACCGACACCAUUUUAGGAGGCCAGAGUCUCACUUGGUCUCAAGAAUUGGUUUCAAGUGUGUCGAGCUCAAAUCACUCAAGUGGAAGGUUUUUCCUCUGGAUGCAAACGGAUGGAAACCUUGUGGCCUACCCUAGAAACAGUGCUGCUCUACCUAAUGAUGCUUACUGGGGCAGUAAUACUGUUAAUAACGUGGGGUUGAAUCUCUCUCUCAAUCACCAGGGACAUCUGUUCAUGAAUAUUUACAAAUCUGAACCACAAGUACUCUUAUUGGCAAACAGUUCUUAUUCCUGUGAGAACAGCACUACAAUUUUUCGUGCGACAUUUGAUGCUGAUGGGAUUUUCAGGCUGUAUUCACACUGUUUUGAGAGUAAAACUAGCUGGAGUGUGCAUAUUGAGUGGUCUGCAUUGAAUAAUCAGUGUGAUGUUCAUGGUUUCUGUGACUUCAACAGUUAUUGCUCAGGUACGGGCACUAAUUGUGAAUGUUCAUGUUAUCCUGGAUUUGUUUUCAAUGAUCCCAAUGAGAAAUUCAGCGGAUGCUACAGGAAUGCCAGUGAAAGUUUUUGUGCAGGCAUCAAAGAAGGGAGAAAGUACCAUGUCACCGGAAUAGAAAAUUUAUUGUUUGAACGAGAUCCUUAUUCUGCCCAAGAGCUCGAAGAGGAAAAAUGUGGUUUGUCUUGCCUGGAAGAUUGUCAUUGUGACGUUGCUCUAUAUAUGGAUGCGAAGUGCGAAAAGUAUACUUUUCCAAUUCGGUAUGGUAGAGAGAAUAAAAACAUAUCAUCUAUAGCCUUCUUCAAGGAAGAAACAAACCCAGGCCAGAAAAUCAUUAUAGAUAGCAAGAAGAGCUUAAUUAUGUUUCUUGCUAUAAUUUUUUGCUCUAUAGCUAUCUUAUGUUUGGGCAUUGCAAUCUCUACUUUCUUCGUGUACAGGGAUCGAGCUUUUCUAUACGAAAAGCUAUCAGAAAUCAUAAGCUUGACCGGAGAGUUUACUCUGCAGUCAUUUUCUUAUGGUGAGCUUGAGAAAGCUACUGAUGGUUUCAGGGAAGAGCUGGGCAGGGGUUCAAUUGGAGCAGUUUAUAAAGGGAAAAUAAAUGGAGGUGAAAAAACUGUUGCUAUUAAGAGACUGGAGAAAGUUACAGACCGAGGGGAAAAAAAUUUGCAGGCCGAAAUAACCAUCAUUGGACAAACUUACCACAGGAACUUGGUUCGACUGCUUGGUUUUUGUUUUGACCGCUCUAGGAGGUUUCUCGUCUAUGAGUACUUGAAGAACGGCACACUUGCAGAUCUUCUGUUCACGGCUGAGAGGCGCCCAGUUUGGAAAGAAAGAAUGAGGAUUGCUCUAGACAUAGCUCGAGGAAUUCUCUAUCUACAUGAAGAGUGUGAGGCCUGCAUCAUCCAUGGCAAUAUAACCCCUCAAAACAUUCUCAUGGAUGAUUCUUGGAUAGCAAAAAUCUCCGAUUUCGGGUUAUCAAACCUAUUGUAUCCGGACAAGGUAAGAAGCUCCAUGGCCCUCCUCUCACAUAGUAGAGGGCACUUGGCACCGGAAUGGCAGAACGAUGCCUUGAUAUCAAUAAAAGCUGAUAUUUACAGCUUUGGAGUUGUGCUUCUGGAAAUCAUCUGUUGUAGAAGCAGUAUAAAAGCAGACGUUUCGACAGAAGAUGAAAUGAUUCUUUCCAGGUGGACAUAUCAAUGCUUUGUAGCUGGACAGCUGGAUAUACUUCUAAAGGAUGAACAUGUAGAAUACGAGUCAUUGGAAAGAAUGGUGAAGAUUGGACUAUGGUGUGUUCAGAGUGAUCCGGCUUCGCGUCCCUCUAUCAAGAAUGUGAUUUUGAUGCUAGAAGGAUCCGAAGAAAUUCCAAAUCCUCCAUCUCUUGCUCCGCCAGUCCUUACCACUCCAUAGUCUACAAAUAAUUGUCCUAGUGUUUUAUGCAUAACUUGUAUGUAUGGAACCAUGUAUUUGUGUGUUAAAUGGCUGUUCUAUAAGGUUGUUUUGUAUCUGUGUGAGAAACACCUUUAAAAAUGUUAUCUUUGUUGUUCUUUUUUCCUCCAACAUACUCUGAUGUGGUGUUGGAAACGUAUAUUUGUCUGAAAAGAAUUCCAACUUAUGGUUAUGAAAUUGUCUAAUUUUUAUGUCUCGAAUGGUGUUAUGGCAAAAUCCCAACUUUUUUAUUUUGGAUUUCUUCAAAUGAACUCAAGUCGUAUCAAUGGCAAAAUUAUUCUUUUAUGAAGCUGGAAAAUGAAAUUGCAGAGAGUUCAUUAGCAGGAUCCAUACAUAUACAACAUAUGAUGCUAAAAAGCAUCUAGUUGGUUUGAUUAUGGGGCUGUUUAUAAAACAUGUUCUUAGAAACAAUGUUGGAAGAUGGAAAGGUUCAACAAAGCUUAAGGGUUUUAAAAAUACUUUUAAAAAAUUUUAAAUUUUAUUUAUAUAACAAAAAUAAUUUUUAAACAGUGUCCUGCAGCCUGCCGUAACUACUUUAGCAGUGUUCUCAAACCGGGCCCCGCUCAUGGCCCAGCUCUUAUGCAGCGACGUAAGAUAAUUGCAUAUACUCCUACACAAUUAAAGCUGAUCUAAAAAUAAUUGAAAACUUGAAAAAAAUAUUGUUUUUUUUUUAUAAAAAAAACGUUGAUGGGAUCUCAUCUAGACUUUGAUAAGAUCACCUAAUUGAGAUGCUAAGUCUACUGGGUUUCUCAGACCACCUAAUUGAGAUGCCAAGUCUACUGGGUUUCUCUGAAUCAACUGCAUGGUCGGUCUGAAAGAAAUCCCAACUUUGUUCAGGGCCAGGUAAAUGAAUCUUUGAGAUUAUUUGCAGGGCUGAGCUGGGUUUUGAGAGUACUCUAGCACUUAUGAGAAGAGGAAAAGGUUUUAAUGGAGUUGAAGGGAGGCGUGUCAAUCUUUUUUUAUCACUGUCCAAGGUUGACUGAUGCAAGUGGGUUUGAUCACUCCGUUGUGAAUCUGUCAUAAUUAGGAGGCUAGGAGGAUAGUUUCUCAAAGAUAUUUAUGGUAAAAGAGCUUUUCUUUUUUUUAAAUUUACUAAUUUGUUUAAGUUAGUUUUUGAGUUUAUUUAAAAAGUUAUUUAAAAUUAUUUUGUGUAGUGAUUCUAUUCAGAUUUUAAAAAAAAAAAUGGCACAUUUUUAUUUUAAUAUUGAUAAAAUAACACAAUUUAACAAAAAAAAUAGUAAAAUAGAACAACUUAUACAUGUUGCGAUAAUAAAACAUGACAUUCUUACUUAUUAUUAUUCAGAAUCGUGAUUUUUUAAAAACAAAAAAACUAGUGAUAUGUGUUGCACAUGAAGAUAGAUAAGAGGGGGAAAAAAAAGAAACACACCCUAGAAGCACAUUGAAGCUCCGAGUACGACAUCACAUUACUGGUACCAUCAAAAAAAUCUUGACAAUACAAAUCCAACAACACUAAAAAAAAUCACCAAUGGUUACCCGAGUGUGUCACACUUGCUGCUCAAAGGUGGCGAGUAACUCACUAGCCUUGACAACAAGUGUGACCCACUCAUGUCACUAUUAGUGACAUUCCUUUGUAUCUUCGAAUUCAUCUCGUCAAAAUCUUUUUUAUAGUAAAUGUAGUAUUGUAAUUGGAGUUUUGAUUUGUCUCUAGUUCUUUUUUUUUUCUCCUCUCAUCUCACCUCAUUGUAAUUUGUGAAGAGAAAAAAGAGACACAUAAAAUCCAACAACACAAAGGAAGGUCAGCAACAAUGACCCGAGUAAACCACACAUACAAUCAAAGAUAAAUGAGUUACCCUUCAUCUUUGGACGACAAGUGUAACACACUUGGAUCAUUGUUAGUGAUUUUUUUUUAUAUCGUUAAAUUUGUCUCAUUGAGAUCUUCUUGAUUGUUCCAUUGAUGUCAUAAUCAGAGUUUCGGCAUAUCUCUGGAGUUUCUUUUUAUAUUGUUUCUUCUACUAUCGAGGCUUGAAGCAUUUCUUCUGGCAGGCGAUAUUGGUCCGUGUGAGCUUUCUCUAUGACCACUGAUCUUCGCAAGGGACACCAAAUGUGAAUGUGAACAGUUCUUCUAUUUUCAUUCCUGAGGUAGCUCAGAUCCGUUAUAGCAAGAAUAAACCAUAAAGCAAAAUUAGUAAAUGUCAUUGUUAACGAUAUCAAACGUGGUAAGAAUUGAUUUAAGAAAGGAUACAAUCAAUUCAAAUGAUGCAUUGAGCAUUGAAUCAAGGCUAGCUUUAUAGUUAGCAGAAGAAGAAAAUACCUGUGACAGACUAUGUGUUGCGUAUCAGGAAAAGAGAUUGUCUGAAAAGGAAAGGUUUUGGUGGAGGGAUUGGUGUCGGAGGGAGCUGACUGAGCUGGAAGCAGUCAAUAUUCAAGCCAGCCGUGGGGUGAUAACAAUUUCCAAAGCACCACCAAUUGAAUGUCGAAGUCCUGUGACAGAAAACUUUUUCCGGCAGCUGAUGAAAAUGGGAGAACAGAUCGAUGAAGUUAUAUUUUAUCAGUCGCUUUGUACCAGGUGGAAUGAACGCUUGUUUUCAAAGGGCCAUUGCUUUUGAAAAAGAAGAGAUGAUUCGGGCCAGUUAGCCAUGAGAAGAUUGUUUUUGCUGUGCGGAUGAAGUGAUAAAAGUUGCAAGGGGGUGAAGUUCUAUGUUACUAGCUGAUAGUUUAGGAAUUAUGGAAAAAACUAAAAGAGGUAGAGGUUUUCCUGUGUAAAAAUUAUAGAUCACUGUGGAUUUAGUGAUUUUUUUGUUUUGAAACUUUUUGUUUGUGAUUUGAGCAUGUUAUGGCCAACUUGAUGGACGAUGACGUCUGAUGUAUUUAUAAGGAUGAGCAAAAUUAAAAGAUGGAGGACCAAAAUGAAAACAAAAUAGAGAAACAAGUGGCACUUUUAAACUAGACUUGAAAAGUUGAUUUUGGUCCUUAUACAUUUCAAUUAAUACAUUUAAAGUUCUUUUAGUUUUUGAAAAUUUAUUUUUGACCUAAAACUUUAUUUUUUUUACUUUUUAGUCUCUUGAUUUGAAAUUAGAAAGAGAUAAUCAUUGUAUUAUAGUUAAAAAUAAAGAAAGUUGUUGUAAGUACCUAUUCCAUCUACAGAAAUGAUCGAUAGUUCUUUCGCCUUUAUCCUUGUCUAAGAAACUAAGAAAGUAGAUCUAGGGGUAAAAAAGUUUUUGGAAUUUGAGUUUUUCUUACUAUUUUUUAGGUUGUUUAAUGCCAUGUGUGGGUUUAUUCUGAUGUUUUAAAGGUGUUUUUUUUUAAUAAUUUAUAUAUAUAUAUAAUAGCUUAACCGUUGUUUUCUGGUGAACCUUCAUUUUUUGAAAUCUGUAACUUAUAAUUUACGUAGAUUUUUUUAAUAAAAAUAGUUGCCUGCCCUCUAAUAUUGAAAAAAAUAAAAGGCAUAGCAUGUGGUCAAGUCUUUUUUUUAAUGGUUUCUGCAUUUUACUGUUGGAUUCAUUCAAAUAAAAAAAAUAUUAAGUAACAUUGAAUUUUUAAUUUUGUUAUGAGUUCAUAGCCUUUUUAUUAUAUUAUAAAGCACUCGUUUUUUAAGAAUUUUCAUGAUUUUUUUAAAAUUUAUUUAAUCACAAAAAGAAUAUUAGUUGUUUUUUAAUUGAAUACCAUUCAAUUUUAUUUUAUUUUUUCCAGAAAAGUGAUUUGCAUAGCGAGACCGUAUUUCUCACACUCUUAGGCCUGCUCUUGCAAGCCCUUGUAUGUUUGCCCAUUGUUUUGGGCUACAAAGGGCCCAUAUUUCUUAUACUUAUGGGUUAUUUUUUACAGUAUUAUUUUUGUUUUUUAUUUUAUUUAAAUAAAAUAACUAAAUUUAUUUUUAAAUUUUUCUUGAAUGUUAUCAUUAUAUUUUUUUAUAUUAGCAGGCCCUAUUUUUGUAAUGUCUUUCAUGAUUUUUUCUAGUUUUUUCUUUAAAUUUAAUCAAAAUUAAUUAAGAUUUAAUAAAUGCUAUUAUACUUGAGAUAUUAUUUAAUUAAAUAAUCAAUUGAAUCAUCUCAAAUUUUAGUUGUCAAUUUAACAUUUCUUGACACCAAAUUAUUUUAUUAAAGGCAUGCAUCAUCUCUGCAAUUCAAAAUUACGAUUUUCCUUGGUGGCGCAAGAAACAUUGCCAAUAUGUUCAUGGCUGCGGAUGUAGACUGCAUGUGGUAAAUAUACCGCGCAAUAUGUAGUUUUAUCCUUUUUUAUAUAUAAAAAUGUCUUAAAUUUGAUUUGAGGCCACGAAUUUUUAAUUGAGUGUUUGGAAAUGCGAUGUAAAAUGUAUUUUUUAAAUUGUAUUUUUAAAAUUUUUGAUUUUUUUAUUUAAAAUUAAAAAAAUAAAUUUUUAGAUUGUUUUGAUGUAUUGCUAUUAAAAAUAAUUUUUUUAAAAAUAAUUUUUUUUAUUUUAAUAUAUUUUUAAAUAAAAAAAUAUUUUAAACCAUCACCACUACCAUAAUCUUAAAAUCUUCCCCACCACCUUAGGCACAACUGUCGUUGGGAAUGUAGAUAAAAGAAAGUUGAAAGAAAGGAGCAUAACAAGCAAGCUCAUAAACAUUCAAUGGAGAUUUGGAGGGACAAGAGGGAAGAUUUGAUUGCAUAAACAAAAAUUAGAUUCCUAAAGCAUAAGCAAAGAUACGAUUAACUUUGAAAAUUCCAAUUACAAAGUACUAAUCUCAGCAAAAUAGAGAGAAACCGUGCAACUGAAGCCCAGUUUCUUAUGGCUUCCCAUGACAUAAAGUUUGGUAAAGGGACAUAAUCAAUGACCAUCUGCUUCAUUCACAAGAUAACCAGCCAAUAAUCAUCUUCUCAAGUACAAAAGCAGAAAAAUUCCAGCAAACUUCAACCAUAUAAAGUUUGCCCUGCGCCCUUCGAGCAAAGAAGGUGCUGGCGACUUAGCAGCAGAUCUGCAAAUACCCUCCAAAAGGGCGUUUCACUUUAGAAUGCUAACGUCGAUUCUCUUUCACACACUUUUUUUUUUUAAUAUAUAGAAGAAGAGGAAACUAGCGUGUGGAGAAGAACAUAUAUAUAUAUAUAGAGAGAGAGAGAGAGAAACAAAAGUAGAAGAGCAUACCCAGGUGCAGCAUAGCUACAUUUUCCAUGACCUGCACAUUAAAAAUUGUAGAUUAGUCAUGGUCCCAAUCGAAUUAGUAGUAACAUACCUGGUUCAUCUCAACGGGCCGGCUUGGCAGUUCAAGUCGAUGAUCUACCUACUGAGAGCCUAGCUCAGGCUGAGCCGGGUUGAUCACGAUCUGCAACCCGAGCCUGAGCCAGGUCAACUCUGAAUCGGGGUCCUAUAACUAUGCAUCUAAGUGAUAAACUUACUGCGGAUCAGAGUGUCUAAUAAUUCUUUGGCUAGGUUGCUGGUUAACUAAUCUUCAAAAAGAAAAAACUGGUCAACAUUUUCCUAUGACUACAAGCAACAUAAAGUGAGAGUCCUGCUUCAAAAUGGCGUGCUUGAAGAAACAUAAGGGAAGCCUAAUUGCUGAGAACACUCAAAAUGUUCCCGUUUUUUUUCCAAACAUCAUUCUCAUCAAAAUUAAUAGAAACGAAAGGUCAUAUUUGAUGCAUAAAUUCGAAGAUCCUCAUUAAAGGAAUCAAGUUCUACUCUGUUCUUCUGUACAUCAUCAAGAAAAGAACGAACAGCUAAAUAAAGUAAACGAAAAGAAGGUGAAGGCAAGAGAUUUCUUACUAGGAUCCCUUCUAGUUAAAACAGCAGUUCCUCCGAAAUUGCAAGCAAUUUCAGAAUUCUCAUUUUGUUGGUAAUAGUUGUUGAAAGCAUAGGAGGCAUGAGAAACUAGCGUGUCAGGAUCAAAACACGCUCCACCCUCUUGGAUUGGACUGCAAUCUGUCAUGCCUAGACCACAGGUCCAGUCUAAUGCAUUCUGCAAAUCAAUUUGAGAGACACCUGACAGGGCAACACACCAUGUUGUGCCUCCAAGAAAAGUUGUGUUGCUCUCUGGAGGUGACAGUGUUGUGACUGGGAUCGCAGAUUCUGCUUUCUCUUGCGUUGCAGUCUCCAUUGUCAGGACUAAGUUCAGGCAAAGAAAAUAAAAGGGCCAAAAAAAAAUCAGAAAGAGAACAAAUAAGCAAUUGUUAGAAUAAUAUUUUCAUUAUAUAAACCAAUGAUUAAAUUCCAGGAAUCCUGAAGAGAAUGAAAUCUAAGACACACAGUAAUAUAUACUUCUAUGUAAAUUCAUGUCAUGUAGUCAAUAUUUCUGGUAUCCACCAGUAUGCAUUACUUCUUACCAAAAUUGGCGUUUAAGGAAAAAAAAAGGGGUAUGUGCAAGAGGUUUGACCAUAGAAAUGAAGAACAGAGAAGAAAUGUUUUUAUCAAGUUAUUACCAGAGAGAAAGGGUAUGCACAGAACUACAACAUAGAAGCCAUGAUUGAAUUAAUUCAACGUUAGCCCCACAAACCACAGACAUAACCAAGGCAAAGACAUGAAACAGGGGAGAAAACAUACCUAGAUAACAUUGCAGCAGCAAGAGACAUGGCAGAACCAGCACUUUGUUUCUCAUUGUAAAAUCCUUGAAGCCUUGAUGAGGACUCUUCUCAAGUCUUAACUCUCUACUGACAACACAAACACACACUCUCUCUUCCUCGGUGCUAAUGGGAGUAAUAUCAGCACUAAUAAAGAAAUCUUAUUCGUAUUGCUGGGAGAGUUUCAAGGGAAUCCAGCAGUUUCUUCAAGGGAAAUUACGUCUUUUUCCUUUUUGGGGCUUUAACACAGUAGGCAGUAGUGUGAUGCAAGAAAUACUACUACUUUUGUUCAGUGUCUAAAUCAUAGUUUUGACAACCGGUCCGGCCUGACGGAUAGACCCGGAUUUCGGCUGAUCUGGGGUAGAAACCGAGCCGAGUUAAAGAAAAAACAGGGAAAGAAAAUAUUCUAAUAUGAUCUAAUUGACUCAGCGGGUUGACCCGGUAAAAUUUGGCUGCAAACCUAUUAAUUUUUAUUUUUUUAUUAAAAUAAUAUUAUUUUAAUUUUAAAAUAUAAAAAAAUAAUCUGGUAAAAAUCUAAAACCGAGAUAUUGAACCAAACUGGUUAGCAGACUACGUCUUAAAACUAUAGUAUAAAGUGCUUGCCUGCCUUUGACAUGCCACAUUAGGCUUGCAGGGGCCAUGAAAUACUCGCACGAAAUUCAAGCUUUCGCAUCCAUAAAGAUAAAUCUUGUUUGCCCCCUGAAUUUUUCCCUUUAAUCCAUCUCCAUCCGUUGAACUGACCGGAUUCAUGAUAAGUUUUAAAAUAGUUUUAAUCAAAUAUCCAUCCUUCAAUAAUAUUAAAAUUAAUUAAUAAAACUUGUUUCAUCAAAAUCUAUAUAUAUAUAAAAGCCUUGCAAACACUCAUGCAAUCAAUUAAUUAAAUAUUAAAUGGAUUAAUUCUUUCUUAGAGAACAGAUAACUUAUGAUUUGUACAAAAAUAUAGUUUAAACCUUAUAGUUUGAAAACGAGAAUAUGAAAAGAUGGUGUCAAGCUAACUUGUUAUGAUUUCAUUAAAAUAUUUAAACCUUAUAGUUUGACCUUUUGCACUCGUAUCAAUAUUUCUCUAACAUUUAAAGUUUAUAAAAAUUGAGAAAUCUAGCGUAAAAAAAGAAGAUCAUGUAACCAUAAUUGAAAAAACAAGAUUGUUAAUGUCAUUGAAGAAUGAGUUUUUUUAUUAAUAUUUUUUCAAAAGUUCAGGAGGUCAAUUUGAGAAAUAAAGAAUGACUUGUGGUCAGAUCCUUUAGCUUCAUGAAUUGAGAUGGACCAAACGGAAGAAUUGAGACUUCCAUGGAAACUCAGAGAGGUAAUUGAUACAAACAAAAGAUUGGGGGAGAAAUUGAGACGCCCUCAAAACCUGUAGGUAUCGGAGGGCAGGUAAAAUUUAUGGGGUGUUUGAAAAUAUAAUAGCAAUUAUAUUUUUAAAGUGUUUUUUGUUUGGAAAUAUAUUAAAAUAAUAUAUUUUUUAUUUUAAAAAAUUAUUUUUGACAUUAUCGAAUUAAAGUGAUAUAAAAACAUUAAAAAAUAUUAAUUUGAAAUAAAGAAAAAAAUAAAAUAAAAAUUAUUUUUUUAAUAUAAAAAAAUAUUAAUGUAAAAUAAAAUAUGAAAAUAGCAUUGAAUCUUUAGGUUAUCACAGAUAAAAGCCACAGCUUUCAACCAUAUCCCUGCCCAUCCAAAGCCCAUAUAGCAGAUUCUUGAAGAUGUUUAUGUUAAGACUGUUCAGCUGAAGAUAUAUGAAUGAAGAAGAAAAAAAGAGAAAAAUCUAUAUGAGAAAAGAUAGAGUUCUAUAAAUUCUGAUUAACUUUUGGACUUACAGCACAAGGUGUUGAUGCAAAAAUUAUUUAAAGCCCUAGACAAAUUUAUCUUUCAUUAAAUUGAAAAUGACAAAAAAAAAAAAUUAUAUUUAGAUUUGGUAAUUUUUCAAUGAAAUAUGAAAUCCAUUUGAAAUGGAAUUAAAAACUCAUUGAUUUAAGAGAUGGGACUCCAACAUUAUAUUUUCUAUUAAGCAUGUAUAAACCUCGUUCCAUAAAAAUUUAAUUUUUUUUAAAAAAAAAUUAUAGUUUUUUUAUAUUUUAAAUUGUUUUGAUACACUAAUUUUAAAAAUAAGUUUUUAAAACUUAAAAAAAUAUUAUUUUAAUAUAUUUUAAUAUAAAAUAAUAUCUUAAAAAAUAAUUAUAAUUGCACUCUCAAACCACAAUAUAAACCUGAGCUCAAAUACAACAAAAUUCUAUUGAAAUGGGCUACUGAAAUCCACUUGUAUUAUUGUUAGUUUUGAUGUUGUCCGACGCCCUUGCACAAAAUGGAGGAUAGACGACUCCCUUUUUUUUGGUGAAGUAACUUUUAUAUCUUUUUUGUUUUUAUAUUUUAAAAAAAAAUUAAAAAAAUUUAAUUUAUUUAAAUUAAUAUUUUUUAUAUAUUUUUAGAUUAUUUUGGUAAGCUGGUGUUUUUAAAUUAUUUUAAAUAAGUUUUUUUUUUUAAAAAAAUAUUAUUUUAAAAUAUUUUAAAAUAAAAAAUAAUGUUAUAACACGCUAAAACAUAUCUUUUAAUUUUAAAGAGAGAAUACAGAGAACAUGAUUUUGUGAUCCUUGAAACUUUUGUAAAGCAUGGUGUUUUCUGUUGAAAUUCAUUCGUUAAAACAUGUGGACACAGGAAGUAGUGUUUCAAUUCCAUCAUAGCUUGUAGCCCAAUCAAGCUGCUGGUUAGCACUGUCUUUUUUUUCUUUCCGUGCUUGCUUCUCACGGUUAUGUUUUGUUCGGUAAUAAUAUUUAAUUUGAUUUUUAAAUUUUUUUAUGAUUUUGAUAUACUAACAUUAAGAAUUGAUUAAUUAGCUAUAAAUUAUAAAUAUAAAUAAAUAAAUUACCAUGGAUUACCAAAUACACACCAAACUUGUUAGUUUAAUAUACUUAUUACUAAUUGGUUAGUUUAUACGUGUUAUUAUUAUAUAUAUUUAUAUAAAUAUAUAUUUAUUGUUAAUAAAAGCUUAAUUUAUUUUUAAUAUUUAUAUAAUAUUAGAUUAAUAAGUAUAAUAUUUAAUUUAUAAAUUUAAAAUAAAAAUAAAAUUUAUAAAACAAAAAUACUUUACAAAUUCACCGUAAACAAGAAACCGGAGAAGUCCUAGCACCAUGAAAUGGACUUUGUUACGCGUUUUCGAGACUUGUUGGUCAAUCAGUGCUGGCAUUAUGGUUGUCUUCCAUCAGUGUGGUCGCAUGAUUUUAUGUAUGUUCACACAUCUUUUUUUAAAAAAGUUUUGGCAUAAAACGUAUGGUUUCCAUCACGAAAAUAGAUAAUAAAGACUUUGUUGUUUUUGUAAUUUAAAAAUAUUUUUAUUUUUUUAUUUUAAAUUAAUAUAUUUUUUAUAUUUUCAGAUUAUUUUUAAUAUUCCGAUAUCAAAAAUAAUUUUUAAAAAAAUAUUAUUUUAAUAUAUUUUUAAAUAAAAAAAUAUUUUAAAAAAUAAUUAUAACUAUAUUUCCCAACAUCCCAAAAACUAAAAGAGUUUUGGAACCUUGCAAGCUACAGGAACUGCAUUUCAUGUGCGCAGUGGACAAAAGUGGUAAUUGGAUUUGUUUUCCACGUUAUGCUAAAUCGAGGAAAGACGUGUUCUUGGUUUGGAAAAGAUGAUGUCGUUUUUCUAAAGUAAUUUUAAAUAAAAAUAAUUUUUUUAUUUUAUAUAUUUUGACUGAUUGAUAUUAAAAAUAAUUUUUAAAAAAUAAAAAAUAUAUUAUUUUACUAUAUUUUUAAAAAUAAAUAUUUUAAAAAAUAAUCACUCCCCAAACUAAAUAACUCGUAAUUAUUAAAUCAAAUAAAAUAUCACGUCGAAUAAUUAUAGUUUAAAUUCUACAUGAUUCUCUUCCUGAUGUACUAGAUGUACGGUAGUAAAUACAAACAGAUUAGCUCACUGAUCUUCCGGCAAAUCAAUUAAUUUGAUGGCAACUUACUCCUAUGUACGGUACCAACAGUUCAAUCGGACAUGAUAUGACUUAUUUUAAAAUUCCUUUUAAUAAUUUAAAUUAUUAGAUUAAAAUAACGUUUUUAUAUAAUAUCAAAAAUUUAAUAACCAGUUUGAAUUCAAACCUCACCGUAACCAUUGCAUUUUAGCUAGGAAAUUGCCUUGUAAAAACUGGAGAAGAAAGGAGGGAAGAUCCUGGCCUCAUCUUAUUCUUUAUAAGGAGCUCGCUCUUGAGACAUAGAACACCAACAAACGUUGUUUACAGUGCUAAAGACUAGAAACUUUGAUGGCAACAGUUUUUUUCGUGAUCUUCAUAUACCUAUUCUCCGCAGCAAAAUCACAAUCCAACAUAACAAAAGGCUCCACUCUUUUCACCAAUUCCUCUCCAAACUUCUGGCCUUCUCCUUCUGGUCAUUUCGCGUUCGGAUUUUAUCCUAGUGGCAAUGGCUUCAAGGUGGGCACUUGGCUCACCGGAAGGCCAAGAAACACAGUUGUGUGGACCGCACAGCGAAACGAACCUGCAGUCUUACCAGGGGCGAGCCUUGUUUUCACCUCAGAUGGUAGGCUUGUUGUACAGAACUUUACCGGAGUUCAGUUGAUAGCCGGAACCGAUCAAAGGGCACAAGUUGCUGCAAUGCAUGAUUCAGGCAACUUUUUGCUUUAUGGCUCCGACAUGGAGGUUGUAUGGGCUACUUUCCGAUUCCCUACCAACACCCUUUUGGUAACACAAGAACUGGGUCCUGACAAGAUUCUAUAUUCAAGCAAAUCUGAUGAUGAUGAUUCUGCUGGAAAUUUUAAGCUAUGGAUGCAAGGAGAUGGAAAUCUCGUUGCUUAUCCAUCAAAAAGUUUGCAAAUGGCUAAAUAUUUUUAUUGGUCAUCACACUCUACAAACAUAGCACCGGACGUAUCUUUAACUUUCGCAGCAGAUAGCAGAUUGUAUCUUGCGAACUCAACAGGGUUUACCGUCAGGAAUUUGACAGAAGGUAGACUUCCAGUCAAUAAGACCACAUUGUAUCGAGCAACAUUUGAUGUUGAUGGCGUUUUAAGGCUUUACCAACAUCAAAUGGGAACUAAUGGAAGCUUGAAUUCCAAUGUCUUAUGGUCAGCAAUAAAUGGAGAAGAUCGUUGCUCGGUGAAAGGCGCUUGCGGGCUUAACAGCUAUUGUGCUAACAAUGGCGCAGACAAUAUUGCCUGCUUAUGUCCUCCUGGUUUCGAUUUUGUUGAUCCCAACCAGACCGAUAAGGGCUGCAAGUUAAAUUUCAGCAAUAGCGACUGUUUUCUAAAAGGAGCUAAUGACAACUACAUGAUUUCCACGCUAGAAAACACUGUCUGGGAACGAGACGAGUUCGAAGUUUUGACGCCUGUGAGUGAAGAAGCAUGUUCAAAAGCUUGCCUGGAGGAUUGCUAUUGUGUGGUGGCCAUGUUUAGGGACCCAACCUGCUUUAAGCCAAAGCUUCCAUUGAGGUAUGGAAUGAAAAAUAGCAGUAUUCCUACCAAGUCAUUUGUUAAGGUUAGGUUAACCAGUACAAAAAACGUCAUCACAAAGAAGAUUGGCAAGGAACUCCUAAUUACUGGAGUGGUUUUGAUUGCCUUUUCUUUUGUGAUAUUUGCAUCAUCUGGUUAUCUUAUAUACACGCAUCAGAUUUGGAGCUUGAAGGUGAUGACAAGCCAAGAUCGUCCACCGGAUGUCCUUGGAGAUAUCAAUUUGACGUCAUUUAGCUAUCAUCAACUUGCGGUAGCUACCGAAGACUUCAUGGAAGAGAUUGGUAAAGGGGCGUCAGGGAGGGUCUAUAAAGGCUCGCUGCCGGAGAAUGGUGGGAAAGAAAUAGCAGUGAAGAGGCUAGAGAAGUUGGUGGACGACGGAGAACGGGAGUUCCAAAAUGAAAUGAAGAUAAUUGGGCGAACUCAUCACAAGAACUUGGUGCGUUUGAUUGGCUUUUGCUGCAAGGAUCACAUAGGAUACUUGUGUAUGAGCUCAUGAAAAAUGGUUCAUUAGGGAACCUAAUCUUCAAGGACAAGAAACAACCAAGUUGGAAAGUAAGAACCAAGAUUACUCUAGAGGUAGCAAAAGGGCUUCAUUAUCUACACGAAGAAUGCGAGACCAAGAUCAUCCAUUGUGACAUUAAGCCCCAUAAUGUACUCAUGGAUGAAUCUCUGUCUGCAAAAAUAUCAGAUUUUGGACUGUCCAAGCUCUUAAAACCUGACCAAACAAGAACAUACACGAUUCCAAGAGGCACAAGAGGCUAUGAAGCUCCUGAGUGGCACAGAAACAACACACCUGUCACAACCAAAGCUGAUGUCUAUAGCUUUGGUAUCUUAUUGCUUGAGAUUGUGUCUUGUAGGAAGAACUUGGACUUGUCAGCUCCGGAUGAUGAAAUUAUACUAAUGGACUGGGUUCAGAGGUGCUAUGAAGCUGGCGAGCUAAAGAAAGUGGUCGGUGAAGCAGAGGUGAACUUGGAAGAACUGGAGAAAAUGGUUAAGAUCGGAUUCUGGUGUGUGCAAACAGAGACAGAUUUAAGGCCAACAAUGAAGCAAGUGAUUUUGAUGAUGGAUGGGACUAUAGUUACACCACCUCCUCCUCCUCCACCAAAUUCUUCUGCUAAUAAUUGAAUUGCAGAUUAUGUAAUUUAUUGGAUCAAAUGUAGUGUGGCUGCCAUGAAAUUCAGUUGCAUUUUAUCAAGGUUCUAGUUCAAUAACUUGAGCACAUUCGUUUAACCACUGGAUCAUACCCUCUUUACUCAAGUCAUGCUCUGCUUCGUGGAAGUCUGAACAAGACGUUAACUAAGUUAUUAAAAUUAGUGAAUUAUUGGAAAAUGGGAGAACAUAAUAUAUAUUAACAUUAGUUAAUAUCUUACUAAUUCAAAUAGAAACUCAAUCCAAUUCAAGCAAUUAAUUCCAAUAUUUUUAUGUCAACCCUCCAAAUCAUAGCGUAUACAACUACUCUUGCUUGAGAUGUAUGGUUAUUGAAGGCAACAAUUUCAUAAUAAUAUGAUAUGUAAGUCUUAAUCUACUAUUCAAAAUGUUUUUAUGAUAUUUAGGGAAUAACUAAUAAUAUUUUAUUAGUUAUUUUCUAGGCUUAUUUUUUUAACAAAUAUAAGUAGAAAAAACAUUAAAGUGGAGAUAUUUUUAUCUCUUUAUGUAUUAUGAGUUUUAUUUUUUCUUUACUUUUUGUAUGUUUUUUUCUAAUAAAUAUAAAAAAUAACUAAUAAAAUAUCUUUGAUAAACACUGUAAAAUUUAAUUUUCCGUGUAUGGUUUUUAAAAACCCAAAUUCAUUGAGACCAAUUUGUAAAGGUUAUGGGCCCAGAUGCCUUAACAUGGUCCGGGCCUCAAGCUGUUUAAUUCGUAACUCAGUUUUACUUCUGGCGGGAAAUUCAUUUUUGCGCACCAAAAUAAAAACUUUCAAAAAUCCCAAAAUCCCCUAUCUAAAACACCAAACCCUAAAAUCCCAAAUCUGCUCAACAUCGACAAAUACCAUCAUGCCGAUAAACAAAGAAGAGCAAGAAAUGCAGACAGCGAAACGCGCAUUUGUUAAUGCGCGUGAAGUAGGGAAUCACCAAGAGGAAGCAAGAUGGGCAAAUUUGAUAGGCGAUAUGUAUAAGAACAGAGGGGAGUAUGUGAAGGCAUUGAAAUGGUUACGUAUAGAUUAUGAGAUUUCGAACAAGUACUUGCCUGAGAAGCAGUUGUUGCCUACUUGUCAAUCUAUUGGAGAUGUUUAUCUCAGACUUCAUGAUUUCAAGCAUGCUUUGGUUUACCAGGUUAGAUUUCUGAAUUGGAUCACUUUUUUUUUUUUUGAGAAAAUGAAAAUUUGGUUUUAUUUUGUUUUUUGGGAAAUGAGAAGUGCGUUUUGGAUUUUGGGUGAGGGGAAUUGAUGGGAAGUUUAACAUUUUGAGGGGAAUUUGGGGGUUUUGUUUGUUCUAAUUUGUGAUUUUAGGGUUUGAUUCUGGUCAGAUUAUGAUUUUUUUUUUCUUUUUGAUAGAAUAAAAGGAGAAUUGGGUUUUUUUUGGGGGGGGGUGGUGGUGGUUGGGUGUUGAGAAUUGAAGGAAAUUUGAUUUUUGUUUUUUUUUUUUGAAAAGAAUGUAUAAUUUGUGAGGAUUAAAUUGUAAAUUUUAUACAAUUUGUUGGCUUCUAAGAAAAUGGGAGAAAUUAUGAUGGUUUGAGUUGUGAGUUUUGAAAUGUCUGCUGGAAUGGAUAUUAAUAGAAAUAGCUGAAUGGAGGUGAUUCUUCUUCUUCUUCUUUUUCUUGGCGUUUUAAACUAUCAAGAGGUUUUUUGUUUAUAGCUCUUCAGUUUUUGGAUCAAGGGAAGAUAUGACUUGUCUAAAAGCCGGGUUGUUAAACUUUGAAAAAUAUUUAAAUAAAGGGUUAUAGCAGGAUUUACUUGUUAACUUUGAGUAAAUUUCUGCUUUAAAAGCAAAGGUUGCAAGUAAGUGGAUCUGUUAUCAAUAUGGAUUAUUAAAAGGUGAUUCAUUAUUGCAGAAAAAGCAUUUGGAUCUUGCCAAGGAUGCCAACGACCUUGUUGAACAGCAAAGAGCCAGCACCCAGCUUGGUCGAACAUACCAUGAAAUGUUCUUAAAAUCUGACAAUGACCAUUCUUCAAUUCGGAAUGCCAAGAAGUACUUCAAGUCAGCCAUGAAGCUAGCUCAGUCUCUCAAGGAAAAUCCACAUUCUAAUAAAUCGUCUUUCCUCAAAGAAUAUAUAGAUGCCCAUAAUAAUAUAGGAAUGAUUGAAAUGGAUCUUGAUAACUUGGAAGAAGCCAAGAAAAUACUUACUAGAGGACUAGAAAUAUGCAAUGAGGAAGAAGUUGAUGCAGAUGAUGAUGGUCGGAGCAGGCUCCAUCACAAUCUUGGAAAUGUUUACAUGGAGCUGAAGGUGUGGGAUAAGGCUCAGGAACACAUUAAAAAAGAUAUUAGAAUUUGUAAUAGAAUAGGGCAUUGCCAAGGGGAGGCAAAAGGGUACAUCAAUCUUGGUGAAUUGCAUUACAGGGCUCAAAAGUAUGAGGAAGCAAAUCUUUGCUAUCAUAAGGCACUUGAUCUGGCAAAAUCCAUGGAAGAUGAGGAUGCUUUGGUCAAGGAAAUUGGUCAUAAUAUUGGAACUGUAAAAGAAGCUAUGAAGGUGAUGGAUGAAUUGAAGAAAGAAGAGCAGAAUCUUAAAAAGUUAACUAGAAGUAUGGUCACUGCAAGGGGAACACAUCAUGAGCGGAAGUGUUUGCUGCAGCAGAAUGCAUCCCUUGAUUGCCUCAUUGAGAAGUCGAGCAUUAUACUUGCAUGGUCAAAGGUAGCUGCUCUACCAUACAUAUUGUAAACUUCUAAUAGCUUUGCCAAUAUCUAGCGGCUCUUAGAACAUAUUCUAAUAGUUAUUUACUGCAUUAAAAAUUGGGAACAUAUCUACAUGAGAUGCUUUCAUUUUAUGUGUCCCCUUGCUAGCUUUGAUCAUCUCACUGUGCUCUUCUUAGAGAGAAUCUACACAUUAAUGCUGUCCUAAGUUAACAGAAAUUGAAUUUCUAAGAUAUUUUUGAAACAGAUCUAGUUAAAUUUCAUUAACUUGUUUGAGCUAGGAUUUAGUAUGGUGUCAUUUACAUAUUUUGAAGUGUUAAAAUAACUUUCUAUUUUUUAUUGUAUGUUGUUUUUAGCCAAAAGAGAAACUUUCCACUAAAUUGAUUAUACAUGGCAUGUGUCUCUGCCCCCCACCCUUCUAUUUUGUGAUUUUAAACUGAGCAAUUUUGUGAUGUUAUAUGUCUAGCAUCAUGAAUUUGCAAAAAGGAAGAAGAGAAUAGCUAGUGAACUCUGUGAUAAAGAGAAGCUGGGCGAUUCAUUUCUACUUCUUGGAGAAUCAUACCAGAAGCUCAGAAAAUUCAAGAAAGCCAUUAAAUGGUUCAUGAAGAGUUGGGAGACAUACAAGUCAAUCAGCAACUUGGAGGUAAUUUUGUAGGUUCUAUGGUCCUUUCAUAUGCUAGCUCUCCUGUAUACCUGUUAAUAAACUUAUGGUUGAUUGAGGGGAGCCUUUCAAUUUAGCUUGAGCUACUUGGUAUAAGAGUUGGCACACAUGCAAGUCAAGAUGCACUUUAUGUUUGACAGUCAAAGCUCUAACCAUUAACGAUUAUUGAUUUCAGGGUCAAGCAUUAGCAAAAAUUAAUAUUGGUGAUGUUCUGGACUGUGAUGGUGAUUGGAUGGGAGCUCUAAAUGCAUUUGAAGAGGGCUAUAGGUAGUUUUUUCUAACACCUUGUUUUUCUCAGAAACUCCUCUGUUUGAAUUAGAAGAUUCAUGGAGUGUCUAGUAUGACAGUAUUGGUGUUUUAGGCAUAUCAGCAUUCACAAAGUACAUCCUGUUUUUUAAUACAAGGCUCAAAUGCAGCCCAUGUGGGCAAACUGGGAAGUGUGCAUGUGUAUACUGCUGUUUUCAAUACAAUAAGAGGAUAGUAUUUUGAAACAGGGUUUUGCUUGUUUGUAAGCAGUAUUUGGAGUGUUCGGUUAAGAAUGUAACCAAAGACAAAUGCCAUUGGUUCAUCUAGUCUAUAUGGUUAGGAAGGUGCUUUGAUGUGUUCAUGUAUUUUAAACAAAUUAUGAAAGAUCUUUUAUGCUGGAUUUCUCCUCCUCAGAAACUGGAUUGAACCUAUAUUUAAUGUCAGGAUAUGGGUUUUUCGAGGGAGGGUGGGUUGAUGUGAAAGGUGGGUUCUCCAUGAACUCCCUGUUGAAAUGUUGCAUUUCAGUGCACUAUAAUUUCCUUGACUAUCUGUAAACAAAAUAUACUCAAGGUAUUGCCACAUGUAGUUCAUUCCUUAGGGCUUGUGCAUUAAUUUAAUGCAUCAUUACUAAAUUCUGUGAAAUUUUUAAUUGUUGCGCGAUUAUGUUUCUCUUAUCAUUCUCAUAUCAUCCUUAUUUGAUUUAUUAAUUCUUAUCAUCAUUAUCAAAAUGCUUUAGCUACCUCAAAAGUCAUGCCUUUUCCUUUAUAUACAAGGCUUGUUGGAAAUGACCUGCUACAGGAUUUAAAUUAUAUGCAACAGAAGCAUCUGAAGUGCUAAACAGAAUAGAUACUAGUUUGGUGCGAAGCAGCAAACUCGAAUUCGCCAAGAAUCUUAUUACAUGGGCCUGAAAUGACACCCACUUGCUAUGUUAGUAAUUUGAAUUUGCAAGAGUUACAACAAAGGAAAAUAGAAGGACGGGAAAAAUAAAUUUCAGACUAUUCCCUGUGAGGGUCACCUGAAAUCAUUCUGUUAGCAUAGAAAUCAAUUGUCUUGUGGUUGUCUACUUGUACCUAUUUCUUAGGUUUAUAACACCGAGCCUCACUUAUUUUGUUUUCCUAUUAUGCAGGAUUGCUGUUAAUGCUAAUCUUCCCUCUGUUCAGCUUUCAGCAUUAGAGAACAUGCACUAUAGCCACAUGAUAAGAUUUGACAAUGAAGAAGAGGCCAGGUAAAUUUGGAUUAUGCAAGACCUUUCAUCAAUCUAGGCUAGCCACUUGGAAUUAGCUUUGAUGGCUUAGGAAUUUCAACUUUAGAAGUUGAUAACCCAAACACUAGUCUUGCAGUAAAUUGAAGUUUGAAGGUUUUCUUGCAGAGGCACAAAUAUGUACAAUUACUCAAAGAAAGGUUUGCUUUUGUAGGAGGUUGCAGCGUGAAAUUGAGAGGUUAAAGUCCAAAAACACAGAGCUUGAAAGGCAGAAUUUGGCAACGGAUUGCUGCUCUGAGACUGAUACAGAAGGGGAUGAUCACUUGUCAGAUUGUAGAUCUAAUGCAUCCUGCUCCCAAGAAAUUAACAAAUCUGGUUCUACAAGAUCAAAAUCUUUAGCUGGUGCUGAAGGGUUGAAUGAUGAUUUACCUCUGAUCUCCCUCCUUCGGUCCCAUAAAAAUUCUCCCAGAACAAAGUCAACUCAAGAAGAAAUGCAUAAUACUUCUACUUGGCCAACUGAAGCCUCUCCAAAAUGUUUUUCCAAAACAGCUAGUGAUCAGCAGACAGUUCUUAGUCGUAAACGUAUUAGAAUAGUCCUUUCAGAUGAUGAAGAUGAAAUGCAUGGUAAGGUAGACUGCUCCAGAGAAAGGCUCAAUAGAUGCCCACCGGAGGAUGUUGCUACUUCUAAUGGAUGUGGGUUUAAAUUAUUAUUUUUUAAUCAGGAAUGAUGAACUUAUUUAUGAUCUAAAAUUUCAUUUCUAUUAGUACUGAAGUACUUCUUAUUUAAUUGCAGUUAUGGGGGCAAGCAAUCCAGCUAUUUCUGCAUGUGCAUUUCAGGUAUGAAAAUAGAUAGAUCAAAAGCUGACGUUUAUUGUUUCCUUUGUGAAGUUGAUUGUUAAUUGCUUUACACUUUAUUUGGCAGGGUGUAUCAACAGUUGCUUCCAAAUGUGCUACCAGUUCCUGGAAUCCCAAUAACAAUGAAGAAAGCACUUCUUCAUACAAAUCUCAGAGCCCAAAAAUUGUGACUCCCAAAGGCAAAGUUUUCAGAUCUUCAAGCAACAAUGAAGUUGUUUUUGCAUGUGAUCUUGCUGCUAGUGGCUCCAAAUGUGAUGUCUCUGAGAACUUAACGCAUAAAAACAAUGCUGCCCAUCUCAGGUUGCACAAUUCUGAGAAUGAUGAUAAUGUGAGUGUUACAUGUGCUAUUAUUAAUUGUCUUACAAUUGUAAUUUACAAGGGAGAUCAUAGAGACACUCCUCUCCAUCAAUUUUUCAUGAAGUAGGUCUCGACUCUUCAACCUUUUGGUUUCAAACCUGAGAUGCUUACUAUGGAACUAGAUAAAAGCCAACUUUUAGGAGAUAGAGAUAAUGAAGAAUGCUUAUUUAUCACUGUAUUUCCUUUGCUAUAUAAUUAUUUGGUUGUUGUUGCUGUAAAUUGCUAAUAUAAUCUCUUGUACUGACUGCAGCAGUGUAUUGUAUUCAGAAUUGACAAUGACCUGAUACAAGUAGAUGCAGCUUCAUACCUCGCUUUUGAUAAAUUGAGCAUUGAGUCCAUGACUGUUGAGCUGGCCUGUUUGUACUAUUUGCAGCUUCCUACAGAGAAGAGAUCAAAAGGUGGGCAUGACUGUUGGACUUUAUAUGCUUUUAUUUUCUGACAAUCAUAAUUUAGGGCAUAUGAGUUGUAAUCCACACAAAUCUAAUAAAUAACAAUAAAGAAACAAGUUGCAUUUGAUUUACGAGUGGCAGAGUGUAUAUUAAAUGGCAACAAAAAUGGAUUUAAAUGCACCUUCAAACACAUGAUUGUGCACUGUUUAGAAAGGCUAACAAUGAGCAGCGAGCACAAGUCUUUUUUUCAUUUUUUUUCUUCUGUUCAAAAGACAACAAACAAUUUCGCAGGAUUGCAGUGGAAAUCAUGUCAUGUGUAUUCCUAAAGCGAGUUGGCAGAGAGAUUCUUUCUGUGAAGGCUGUGUUGCUCCAAUGUAGCUGAUUUUGGUAUCUAAAUGACCAAUGGUGGUCUUCAUUGGUGCCCAUGCUGAGUUGCAAAUACAUGCUUUACGUUAUAUGCAUAGUGUGAAGUUUUUCUACUGCCCAGCAUAUGAAGCUUAGGCUUCUUUGUUGUACGUGGCACGUGCAUAAGCCUAAAUUGCAUGACAAUGAGCUUUUUGUUUUGCUACGGUCUCAACUGUGCAUAGACUCCCUUUUUUGCACCUUUAUUUGAUUGGGUGUUUUGCCCGACAGUACUUUCCCAAUGCAGAGGAAGUGAAGUCUUGGGUUUAAGUCCUACUCUUGUCAUGCAAAAUUUGAAAAAGAGCGAAGAACAAUGCACAAUUAGAAGGAAUUUCACUCUCCCACAUGUUUAUUUUCUUAAACAUAAAACUAAAACCUUCUCGCAACAACUUAAUUAGAAGAAAUUUCACUCUCCAGCAUGUUUAUUAUUUAACGGUUUUAUUUUCCUUUCUUGGUUAUAUCACUUCUGUUAACACGUGGAUUUUAUCUCAUUAGGUCUCUUGCCCAUCGUUCAGCAUGUGAAAUGUCAUGGAAGAGUUCUAGAUUCCAUAAAAGCAUUUGAAACUCUCAAGGGUGAUCAAGGAAAUAUCCUAAUAGAAGUUUCCAUUAAUGGUAUGUGUUACAACUUCCAAUUUCCUUUCCAUGAUAUAUUUUUUCCGGCCUUCUUUAGUUUCCUUGAAUCUUGAGUAUUCUUACGGUGAAUGUAGUUUGUCAUGCUCUCCCCAAUUCAAAUAUUUUAACUUGUUAGUUCAGGCCUUGUGUACUUGGUAAUAGUCAGCGGAAACUAUUGAUAUUUUAUGUGGCAUUGUUGUUGACAGUCUUGAGGGACUUUUUGGGCAUUCAUUAACAAUCUUGAUAGGAUCAGUUUCACAAUGAGUUGCGGAAUAAAGUACUUUAGAAUAGAGGUACUGGAAAAAAAAAAAUUUAACUUAAGUUGGCACAAAUUGUGUUGAACAUUAUUCUGGCCAACAAGGAUCCUGAUUGAGGAAUUUUACUACUGAAAUAUAUAAGAGCUGUAGAAUGAGAAUGGCAUAAAUAAAACUCCAUGCUUUCAAAUGAUAUUUCUGCCUGAUGCUUGAAGAAAUACUACUUUGGAAGAGAAUCCAACCAGAACAGUUUUCUAAAACUGAUCUUCAACUUUGCUCUCUUAUUCUCUAGUAACUUGAAGAUAGUCAUAAUCGGUAUAGGCAGCAGAACCAUAUUCAGCAACUGUCAACGUAGAUGCUGCUGCUUUAUUCUUUUCAUUUCAAUUUUUUUCCUACUGUCAUGUUCUUUAUUCAAUGAAACAACAGGUUGGGUUCAAAAGCGCUUGAUGAAGCUGUACAUCGACUGCUGCGAGGAGUUAUCAGAGGCACCUAAUAUGAAGUUGCUUAAGAAACUAUACAUUUCAGAGGUAAGCAUGGGGAUAGGUUAGGUGCUGAUUAGUGAAGGGGGAUCUUGUUUUAUUGGUAAUGGCAGGAUAGUGGAUCUCAUUAUCUGUUGGAGUUAUACAUGUACAAAUUGGUUUCUAUUUUGUUGUAUUCAUUUCUUGUGUGCCAGGUAGAGGAUGAAGUCAUUGGAUCUGAAUGUGAAUUGCAAGAUAUAUCAGUAACUCCACUGUUGAAUGCCCUGCAUACCCACAAAACAGUUGCCGUGAUAGACCUUUCCCAUAAUUUUUUGGGUAAUGACAGUUGGCUUUUGAUCGUAAUUUCUAUAUAGAUCUGUUUCUGGAUUACAAAGGGCAUGCUUACUGUUUCUCUGCAUGCUUCUCAGAAAAAAGCUGUUAUUGCAUCAUUGUCCUUGUUAUCUCUUAAAGGAAUGAGGGGUCGUCAAUUUUUCUGCUCUGCUAAUAUUAGCUGUCCAUUGGUUAUUGUCUCUCAGGGAAUGGAACAAUGGAGAAACUUCAACAAUUUCUCACAACAGGGCAAAAAUACGGUGAUUUGACUUUGGAUUUGCAUUGUAAUCGGUUUGGUCCAACUGCUUUAUUUCAGGUAUGUAACUUGUACAGCCUAAUAUUGAUUUAGAGUAUUCUAUCCCCUGCUUGGUUAUUCUCAAGCAUUCAUUGUGACUCUCAAAUCCGAAGGAAUCACAUUCUCAACCAAUUUCAAACGUGGAACUUGGAAAUCUGGACACAAAAUGAUGGCAAUAUUGUGGUUAUUUGUUUAAAGUGCUCUGGACAUUGUCA